GGCUCAAGUACGGGCUGAAGGUCUGCUGCGGCGCCGGUGGGCAGGGCAAGUACAACUACAACAACAAGGCGCGGUGUGGCAUGUCCGGGGCCAGUGCCUGCGCCGACCCGGGCAACUACCUCAUCUGGGACGGCAUCCACCUCACGGAGGCGGCCUACCGCUCCAUCGCCGAUGGCUGGCUCAAGGGCACCUACUGCAACCCUCCCAUUCAGCACUGAUGGAGCUAGCUAGCUAGCAGCAUUCAUGCGUGAGUUGAUCGUGUGUUGUUUGUUUAGGGCUAAUUGCCAUGUGCAUCAUCAUCCUCUAGGUUCGUAUACACAGUGAUGAGUAGUGAUGGGUUUGUUAUUUGGUUGUCAAUUAUUCAUGGGAGGUAGGUGGUUUCGGUGUGCUGGGGACAAUGAAUAAAUGUGUAAUGGACAGCUGUUUGCAAUUUUCUUAACGCAAAAAUACUGUAGGGGAGAUCCCCACAGUGAUUUAUAUUGAUUAGAUUUAAGAAUUACAUAAAGUUACGAACUUGUCUUAACUGAAAGCAUCAAGCCAAAAACAAAAUGAGGACCUAAGGUCCGUCUUGAAACAAAAGGACUGAGCAAUACAUUGAUUCGUAAAAAAUGUGCUAGCGCGCCAAAGCGAGUUUACGGAUCCCUUUGUUAGAAAAUCUUGUCAUUCUGCAGCUUCCAAAGUUCCCAAGCUGCAAUAAGCACGACUUUAGUAAAGAAAGGCAGCCCCUGCAUAUCCUUUUCUUUUACAAACCUUUCUUGAAGCAGGAUCGACGCAUCCUAGUUGAAGUUGAUGGUAGACCAGCAUUGUUGUGAAAGGGGCAGAAGAAGAAUAGAUGUUCAAUAAUCUCAUCCAUCUCAGUGUUGCACAUAAAAAAGAACGUGUCAUCUUGGAUGCUCAGAUGUCUUCUCCUUAUCAUGACCUUUGUAUUCAGGCGAUCUACUAGGACUAGCAAAGAAAAAAAAAUGAUACACGGGGCACAACGAGAUAUCUAGAUCAUUUUAUAUAUCAGAUGCACUUCCACUGCGCUAAAGACAUAUGCAUAGAACUUUCUUGACGUAUAUUGAGGCCCCAGGUUGGCUCCCAUGAAUCUACUGCAUCAUCAUCAUAUGAAAUUCCUUGGAGGUGGUCUUGCAAGAGCUGCAGUAGGCCUGUACCGCCAGCGGUAGGAAGAAAGUAUCAUCUAGAUUUUUUUGUUUCCAUGACUUCUUGGACUGACAUUCCUUCAUUCGUAGUAAAGGAAUACAACCUGAGAAUUUCUAUGGACAACACUUUGUUCGACCAACAAUCUUCCUAGAAACAAAAACCGUUGAGCUGUUACCGACUGUGCAUUUGGCUAUACCGUGGUAAAUGUUGUUGAGUCGCAAUAUGUCAUGCCACCAGAAUGACCCAACCUCUAGAGAUGCAUGGGGCACCUAGUCUGUAUAAUAUCUGUCCUAGAUUAGGCGAACCCAAGGCACAUCUGCUAUGUUAUAGAAUUUUUGUAGAUGCUUCAUGAGUACUGCAUCAUUUUGGAGCCAUAGGUUUAUGACUCCCAGGCCCCUUUUGUCAUUCGGUUUCAUCACAUUUGGCCAAGCAACCAAAUUUCCCUGUUUUGUUGUUGGAUCAUUGCAUCUCGGUAGACAUUGUUUCCUGGCCUGAUCAAUGUUGUCUAGGGCUCCUUUAGGGAUCUUGAUGGUACUUAGGGUGUACGUGGUUAUAGGUGUGAUAGUUGAGUUGAUCAUUUCUAGCCUUUCGGAGAUGGAUAACUAGGUAGAGCAAGUCGAGAGCCUCCUCUCACUUCUAUCCAUCAUCAGUGAUAGAUCAUUAAUUCAAGGCUUUGUGGUGCCCAUUGGAAGCCUAGAUAGGUGAAUGGCAUAGAGCCAAUUUGGCAACCUAAAGUGCUUGCUAAGAUCUAAACUUUGUCUUGAUCAACAUUGAUUGGUAUCAUUUGGAACAUCUGAUAAUUGAUCUUGAGUCCUUAGGACUAUUCAAAACUACAUAGAAUAGCCUUUAGAAAGAAAAGCUGGGUAGCAUCAGCAUGCAUGAUGAGCAACGUGUGAUUGGUGUACUAGACUAUGGGGAAAUCGCCGGUAGCUUGUGGAAUUGGCGCCUUGAGAAGAUUUCUUUUUGAUGCUUUGUUGACGAGAAGUUGCAAAAGCUCAGUGGCGAGCACAAAUAGAAGAGGGGAUAGUGGGUCGCUCUGUUGGACACCAAGCUUGCACUUAAAACUUUUUUCGGUACACCAUUGAGGAGUACCACUGACGAGCCGAGGAUACACUAGGUCCACAACAUCCAUCCGCUCAAAAAACCCAUGUACUGCAUCAUCAGGAUGAUGGCUACGUGCUUGGGAGUGUCAAACGCCUUUUCAAAUCUAGCUUUAGGAUGAUGGUUUCACAAUGACAGUGGCAUUGGUGUAUGUAUUUGAACGACCAUACCAAACAAUCCUAGAUAGAGCGAGAACGAAUGAAGUCAUAUUGGUUCUUAUGUAUAAGACUGAGAAUCACCUCUUGUAAUCUAUCAGCAAGGAUCUUAGCCAGGACUUUGAGACUUCUAUUCAAUAAGAAAAUCAGCCUGAAGUCUGGACUUCGGCACAAGGUCUUGAUGCAUUCCAGAUUAGCCAUGCCACUAUAAAACUCAUCACAAAGAUUGUAGAAGCUGCCUUUGAUAAUGUGCCAACAUUUUUUAGGAAAAAAGACCAUUGAAAUCAUCUAGGCCUAGUGAACUACCGAGCAUCUUUAGUCGAUAGUUGGCAUGUCAAGUAGUGAUGUGUGCUUGAUCCUCAAGCGAGCUUGAUGGCGAUCUUUAAUACCUACUCGACCAGGUGAGUCAUUCUUAGCUGUGUUGUCGAUUAGUGCUCUUUGAAUAUCUAAUACAGAAUAUUUUUCUAGCAUGCAGCGACUUGUCUCCCUUGUUCGUAAUCUACUUCACCUUUGUUGUGGUUAUGAGGAUCAAACUCAUUGUGCUCAGCAUCGAACACGGCCACUACGUGAAAAGGAUUUAUAAGUGCUAGGGGCUUGGGAUAGUAGGGGCGGUUGGUGAUUGAGCCGCCCCUACUGUGGGCUUCCCAGGUACCAGUAAACUAGCGCCCCUACAAAUGCUUCAAUAAGGGUGACUGGUGUUACCAGCCGCCCCUACAAAUCAACCCAUUUGUAGGGGCGGCUAGAUCACCAGCCGCCCUUACUAAGCAUUUGUUGGGGUGGCUGGAUCACCAGCCACCCCAACAAAUGACGGUUGUAUAAGUGGCAGCCACCACUUUCUUUCUCCUCGGGUCACUCACUCCAACCCGAGGAAAAAAGGUUGGGAGGUCUUGGGCUCCUCCCAAAAAUUGUUCUAGUAAGGGGGGAGGUUUUGGUCUCAAAUCCUUUGGUAGAAAGCUUGUAUAAGGUAAGAAAAUGCUAUUUCAAGCCUUUAAUUGAAGUUAUAAUGGUUGGCUAGUGUGUAAUUUGAGUUUUGCUUUUCUCUCACUUCCAUGGUGGUUGAGCUUUGUAUGGAGCAAAUUAAACCCUAGUUUUGAAGCUAUUAGUUUAAAUUAGAUAGAGAAAUGAGCUUGCACCCAUUAUUAGUCGAUUUUGCUUGAUUUUAGUGGAGAUUACACCUUAGUUUCAUGUAUGCUUCAUCUAGUUCUAUAUAUAGGGCUUGUUUUUUAAUUUUUUAAUUUGUGUUUCAUGAAAUUGGAAUGGGGUUGGUAUGAAAGGUAGUGGGUAAAAUAAUAAUUGUUGCUAAUUUGUGUCAAUGAAAUUUUAUAUUUUAGCCAUUUAAUAUAUAAUGUUGAAUAUUUAUAUGCAUUAAUAGGCAAUUAGUUAAUUAGUUAAUUAAUCAUUGAUUCGAUUCAUUUGAUGUAUCUUCUUUUGUUGUUUUGUUUUUAAAAGAUGGAGUACAUGAACUCUUGGAUGUAUGGUUGGUCAAGGAUCGAUGAAGGUUUUCGCGAAGAGGUGGACAAAUUUAUUGUAGCCGCUGAUAAGCAUGCAUCAACAUUGACAUAUAACAAAAAUACAACUAUUUGUCCCUGCAAAGAUUGCAAAAAUAUGGCAUUUGCAGAUGUGGAUACCAUCAAAUCACACUUGGUUAUGCGAGGAUUUGUUCCGGAGUACACAAUGUGGAUUCAACAUGGUGAGACAAUAGUUGUUGAUGACAACAACAAUGAUCAAGAACUUGAUGCCGAAACCCUGAAGUAUCUGCACCAAUACGACAACAAUGAAGACAUGGGCUAUAACUUUGGCAAUGAACAAGGUGGUGACUUUGGCAAUAAACAUGGUGCUAAUGAUGUUGGUGGUGCCGGCACAAAUGGUGGAGCACAUGAGGGGGAUAAAGAUGACAGUGACAAUUUGGAGGACAUGCUUCGGGCCAUUGGACCAGAAAUAUUACUACAAAAGAAAGGUCUAGAAAAUUUAGAGUAGGUGAAAACAGCGUCGAAGGAGACUGUUUAUGGUGUUGAGAAGGGUUGUCGGACACACUAGACAUUGCUCCAUUUUGUGCUUGAGCUACUCAUCCUUAAGGCUAAGUACGGUUGGUCCGACUGCAGUUUUGAUGAUCUGUUGCAUCUCCUAUCAUGGGUGCUGCCACAACCAAACUUAGUUCCUGUCAACACAUACCAUGCGAAGAAGGUUAUAAGUCCACUCGCAAUGGAUGUUGAAAAAAUUCAUGCAUGCCCCAACCAUUGUAUCCUUUUUUGUGGUGAUAUGUUCAAAGGUUUGGACAAAUGUCCUCGGUGUGGGACCAGUCGGUACAAGGAAAAUGACUUUUAUAGUGGGGAAGAAGCCUCCACGGGGAACAAGAGGAAUAAGAAGGGUGUGGAAAAAGACGGUACAAGAAUCUCAACCACUAGAGGACACUCCAUUAGGCAACGAUGAAAAUAAGAGAGAAGUUCCAGCCUUGGUAAUGUGGUACUUGCCAGUGACUGACAGCUUGAGACAUAUUUUCUUGAACCCUAUGGAAGCCAUGCUCAUGACAUGGUGGGGUGAUGAGCGCAAGGUCGAUGACGAUGUGAUUGCACACCCAGCUGAUGGUAGUCAGUGGAAAGACUUCAAUAAGAACAACAAACUAUUUAGUUCAGACCCAAGGAAUGUAUGGUUUGCCUUGAGCACCAAUGGAAUGAAUCCCUUCAAUGAGAGGAUGACUGACCACAACACUUCUCCAAUGAUCCUAACCAUGUACAACAUCCCAACGUACUUGUGUUAGAAGAUAAAGCACCUUUUCCUCACCGUUCUUGUUUCUGGCCCUAAACAACCAGGAAUUGAUAUAGACGUGUUCCUUGAGCCUAUCAUGCAAGAAUUUGAGAGAAUAUGGAGGUUUGGGGAGCCAAUGUAUGAUGCAUUCCGACAUGAGGACAUCGCACUAAGAGCAAUAAUAUUUGUGACUAUCAAUGAUCACCCCAUGUUGUUUGCUAUGUCUGGACAAAUCAAAGGCAAGAUGGGAUGCUAAGUCUAUUUGGAUGAUACUAAAUGGGUAUACCUAGAUGGAUCCAAGAAGAUUGUUUACCUAAGGAAUCAUAGCUUCUUAAAGGUAGGUCACAAGUACCAAAACAAUUUAUACUUAAGAUACUAUGCAACAUCUAGGAGGAUGAACCCCCUCCGGAGAGAUGUCAUAAUGGACAACAUGUGUACAAAAUGGUGAAAACCAUAUGCAUCAUAUAUGGAAAGAAGAAUCUAGAUGGAACAAUCAAAGAUAGAAGCAGACCUCCUAUCAAAGGCGUACCUUUUAAGAAACAAUCGAUCUUCUUUUGGUAUCUGCCUUAUUGGCUAGAAUUGGCGGUCCCCAUGCCAUUGAUGCUAUACAUGUGGAGAAGAAUGUCUUCGAGAGUCUCAUCGAUACCUUGAUGGACACAACCAAGUCAAAGGAUGGUCUGAAAGCAUGAAGGGACAUGGAGCAACUAAAGGUGAUGCCAGAGCUUCACCUGGUACUUGAAGAUAAUGGAAAAUACACUCUGCCAACGGCUACCUACAACCUAGACAUAGAAGAGAAGAGAUCUGUACUCACAUCCAUGAGGGGGAUCAAAGUCCCAACUAGGUUUUUGGCUAACCCGAAGAAGCUAGUGUCAAUGAAGGACCUCUCAUUUCACUACUGCAAGGCUCACGAUUGUCACAUGAUGCUGACAGUGUACCUACCAAUUGUCAUCGGGACUGUAAAGUCAGAGUUCUUGAAGAUGUCCAUCACCCACAUGUGCUACUUCUCUUCAAAUAUCUCUAGAGGAUGUUUCGUAGGACAGAGCUGAGAGACCUACAUGAUUUCAUGGUGGAGACCCAGAACCAACUUGAGAUGUGUUUACCUCCUACUUUUUUUUGAUAUAAUGGUACAUCUCAUUAUUCACAUGGUUCAUUAGAUAGAGGCGUUGAGCCCUUGCUACUUGCAUAAAAUGUGGUCCUCCAAGUGGUCCAUGUUGGUCCUAAGCCGAUACGUGCAUAAUCGAGCAUACCUAGAGGGUUCCAUGAUAGAGGAUUAUAGUACUGAAGAAUUCAUCGAAUGCUAUCAAGAGUACUUGAAAGUACAAAGAGGGAUUGGCAAUCCCGAUUCUCGUCACAUGGGUAGGCUAGCUAGAAAGCGCACAGUGGUAGAAAAACAUUCAUCAACUAUGAAUAUGAAGAAGUAAGUCAGGCGCAUUGUUGUGUUUUGUAGAGCACAAAACUGAUGCAAUGGUAUAUUGAUGAACACGUGGCUCUCAUUAUGGAGGAGAGGAAUGGUCAUUCAGAUGAUUGGGUCAUAAGACAGCAUAGGCGACGCCUGACUCAAUGGUUGAGGGACCAGAACAUACCGCUUAGAGAAAGUGAAGAUUCUACUACCAUCAGUAGAUUGGCAAAGGGCCCAUCGAGACAAGUAACAUCUUGGAAUUCUUAUGACAGUAAUGGGUACUCAUACUAUACCCACACAAAGGAUAGUAAAAGUGUAAACCAAAACAACAACGUUCGAGUAGAGGCUCUCGAUGGACUGGGGCGAAAGGUCCCAUUUUUUGGCAUAAUUGAAGAUAUAUGGGAGCUUGACUAUGGAAGGAAUCUAAAGGUGGCCCUAUUUUGAUGCUGCUAGAUCAAGCAACAUGAAGUCAAUGAGAUUGGGUUGAGAGUCGUGGACCUCCAGAAUGUAGGCUACCAUGAUGACCCUUGGGUGCUCGCUUCAUGUGUUGCACAAGUUUUCUAUAUGUCUGACCCACUAAGUAACCUCCCCCCAAAGAAGAGGACUGAGCACAUGGUUGCCUCCAGGAAACAACACAUUAUCAGAGUUGAUGGCGUGGAUGAUGUUGGAGCUUACAAUGACUAUGAUGAGAUGCCACUAUUCACAUACUUUAGUAGCAAGAUCAGUGCAGUGGAAAGGAACCUAUCCAAAGACAUACUGCCAUGGGAAUGAAAAGGUGGCAAGGGGAAACUUGUUACGGUGGGGCCUAGCUAGUUUGUGUAAGUGUGUGUCUGAGACUAUAUUUAUGUAUGUGUGUGAGACUAUGUUUAUGUAUGUGUGCGAGACUACAUUUAUGUAUGUGUGUGAGACUAUAUUUCAUGUAUGUGUCUAAUGUUUAUGUAUUUAUGACUUUUUUAUGUGUCAUGUGUAAGUGUUUAUGAGAGACUUAUCAAUUUACAACCAAACUUUUCUAACACUAUCUCAAAUGCCAAAAUGACCAAAACAACAGAUGUAUAUCUUGAUGAGUUUAAUAAACUUGGUAUUCAUGACUUUUCUAGGUGAAACCAUUUAGGGUUUGAAAAAAUGGUUUGAAGUCGUUAUUUUUUGAAAUUCAAAAUUUGAAUCAUUCAAACUUUGUCAAAUGAAAAGUGGACCAAAAUAACAAAUACAUCUUGAUGAGUUUAACAAACUUAGUACUCAUGUCUUUUCUAGUUGAAACCAUUUAGGGUUUGAAAAAGUAGUUUGAAGGUGUCAUUUUUUGAAAUUCACAAUUUAAAUUCUUUUAAGUUUACUCACAUGGAUAGAUGAACUGACUAAAAUAAUAGGUCUUGAUUUUAGAAACAUUUAGGAAAAAGAAUCAUCAGAUUUGAAGUUAGUAUGAGGGACAAAAACCUGUUACAAGUUCCAGCCAGAGAUUAAAAAACAAAUCACACUUGUUCAUAACCAAUUUAAAAUUUGAAUUUAUACAUCUUCGAACAAGAUUUCAAGGCACAAAGUUACUCUAGAUGAAAGACUUUUGAAUAGAAAAGUUUUAGAACUCAUCAAGAUCUACAAUUGUUAUAUAUAUCAUUUUUCAUUUGAGAAAUCUUAGUAAACACUAGUCAUAAAAUUAUGAAUCUCACAUAUAAUUUAUAAAACUAUAUGAGAGACUUGUCAAUUUACAACUAAACUUUUCUAACAAUAUCUCAAAUGCAAAAAUAACCAAAAUAACAAAUGUAUAUCUUCAUGAGUUUAACAAACUUGGUAUUUAUGACUUUUCUAGUUGAAACCACUUAGGGUUUGAAAAAUUGGUUUGAAGUUAUCAUUUUUUGAAAUUCAAUAUUUGAAUCAUUCAAACUUUGUCAAAUGAAAAGUGGACAAAAAUAACAAAGUACAUCUUGAUGAGUUUAACAAACCUGGUAUUCAUGACUUUUCUAGUUGAAACCAUUUAGAGCUUCAAAACCUGGUUUUAAGUUAUCAUUUUUGAAAAUUCAAAAUUUGAAUUAUUUAAACUUAGUCAAAUGACAAUUUGACCAAAAUAACAAAUGUAGAUCUUUAUGAGUGUAACAAAAUUGGUAUUCAUAACUUUUCUAGUUGAAACCAUUUAGGGUUUCAAAAACUAGUUUUAAGUUGAAGUUUUUUUGAAAUUCAAAUUUCCCUUAUCCAAACUUUCUCAAAUGCAAAACGGACCAAUAUAAUAAUUGUAGAUCUUGAUUAUCUUAACAAACAUUGUAUUCAUAUCAUUUUCAUUUGACCUCUUUUAUAGUGCCUCAAAAAUAUUAUCAAGCUUGUUGAUUGAUUUUCUAAAUUAAAAAAUCAAAUAAAAAAACAUUUGUAGGGGCGGCUUAAUCAUGAACCGCCCCUGCAAAUGGAACUAUAGGGGUGGCUCCCUUCUUCACCCGCCCUUACAAAUGCUCUAGGUAUAUAACAAGUCGAUCGUGGCUCCCUUCUCACGAGCGUGCGCCUCACUCCCUUCGAUGCUGGUAGGCUGCCGGAUUUUACCACCGUACCGUACAUCACCGCCAACUCCCCCUCCGGCACCCCUCCGCCGCUGCAACCUCCCUCUGCCCUCACCCAUCGCUCGCUGCCUCCUCCCACUCCUGACCCUGCCUACCCUGCCCCAUCUCUAGCGCAGGCCGCGUCACAGUUAGGGUUUGCGGUCGCCUAUGAAGGAAGUCAGACGCGUCACGGUGGAGGAAGUCGACGACCUGUGAAGGACACCACGCAGGGGCGCCGCGGUGAGGGUUGCUGCCCAUCUUCGUCUCACCUCCAUCUCUGGCACCGACCACGGUGGCUAGGGUUUCCCUGCCCUUCUCUCCUUCCUCAACAUUCGUGCUCCACCAUCGUUGGUCCUUCUCUUCAUCCUCGGCGGUUGUCCUGCAGCCGGAUCCCUACGCACCAUCGCCGGAUCCCUGCACACCACCGCCUGAGCCCUCUCUACUAGUUCCUCUACAAGUAUGCCCACCCCCUUCUCCCCCAGUUUUCUCCCCCAGUUGGAGCUUUGGACAUAUGGUUUGCUCUUGCGCUUGCACAUGAUGAUGCUUUGAUUUAUUACAAACUGAGCAAAGUGCCUAGGUUGAUGAUGUGAAUCUGUCUAAUCGUAGACACUCAAGGAGCACCCCUUUGAGUCUAGCAGCCGUGCCUUGUUUAUCUUGUGAUGGCUAAACUAUUGCUUGCAUUCUCUAAUCUGUACUGAUAAGUAGCAUUGCUGAAUUUGUGCAAUAAGCACUGAGACCAAUGGCACUUUGCAAUGAUAUGACAAUUAAUGUUGGUCCGUUUGCUUCAUUAUUCAUUUGUACUCUAUAUACCAAAAUUGAUGUUUUAGUCAGAUAUAUAUUUUUUAGAUAAUGGAUGAAACAUCCGGCUUCAUCUAUCCAAAGAUAGAAUCAGACCAAUUAUUACAAAACUUCCACAAAGGACAAAAGUAAAAGCUACGACUGAAUUGCAGCCCACCAGAAGGAAAAGGAAACAUUCGAAGUAAAGUUUGAAACUAAGCAUGACCAAUGUAACUUGACGAUAACCACCCAUUGGAACUAAAAAAUGCAAGGCCGACGUUUCUAGGACCUGCCCCACGAGAUUUAACUGCUCCCGUUGAUCGUCAUGCCGCUGCAAGUGUGCCCACUGUCGAAGCCGGUGUGUUCCCCUGAAGAGUACCUGCAAGAAAGAUUUUGGUCUGCAUCUGUCAAAAACCACCUCGUUUCGGGUUAUCCAAAUUGCCCAAUAGAGCGAUGCACCUGCCGUUAAUAACAAUGAAUUAUACUUUUUAGUGCCUAAUUUUGUCCAUCUUAAAAACAGAUCAUUUAUAUUUGUUGGCGGUGGCAAUGCAAAAAUUAUAUGAACAGCGCGCCAUAAGAAUUUGGCAUAAACACAAUAAAAAAGAGAUGAUUAAUUGUUUCCGGAAAGUGACAAAAACAACAACCUCUGUCACCAUUCGAGUUACAUCUAACUAAGUUAUCCUUAGUUAAAACCACUUUUUUUUUAAAUACAAAAGAAAAAUUUUAAUUUUCAUUGGUAACUUAGUUUGCCAGAUAUCUUGUGACACCCGAACCCCAUUGUUAAUCAACGCAGCAUACAUAGACUUGACUGUAAAGAUCCCACACGCAUUCAACCCCUAGACAAAUACAUCCUUCUGGUUUACCAAGUGAAGAUCCUGUACAGUCACUACAGUGCCAAGCCAAUAGAUUUGCACCCACUAGAUUUCGUCUAAAAGAAAUAUUAAAUGGAGUUGAACCGAGCACUUGUGCAACAGAAUCAUCCUUUCUCCGUACAAUAUUAAACAAUGAAGGAAAUUUAUCCUUAAGGGGUUUAUUUCCCAACCAAGUAUCACUCCAGAACCUGGUUUGAGAUCCAUCUUUAAUCUUAAAUGAGCCGAGUUCCAAAAAAGAAUCUUUGACAUUCAUUAGGCUUUUUCAAAAAUGCAAAUCCAAUGGUUUUUUAACAUAACUUCCUAAAGUCUUGUUUUUAAUAUACUUUUUUUAAUAAUUCCUACCACAUGCCGUCCUCGUUCAAGAAUUUGAAUAACCACUUACUUAAUAAACACUUAUUUUGCGUAUCCAGAUUUUGAAUGCCAACCCCACCUUGACUCUUUGGCUGACAUAACACCUCCCACUUUGCCAACCUAUAUUUUCUUUUAUGCUGAUCAUUUUGCCAAUAGAAUCGAGAUCUGAAGCAAUCUAUUUUUUCUAACACACCACAUGAAACUUCGAAAAACGACAUCAUAAACAUCGGUAAACUAGAAAGCACCGAGUUUAUAAGAACCAGUCGCCCUCCUACAGAUAACAUUUUCUCUUUCCAGCCACUCAGUCUCUUCUCAAUUCUAUCUUCGAUAAUCUUCCAAUCUUUAUUAUUUAACUUUCUAGUGUUCAUAGGAAGUCCCAGAUAAUGGAAUGGGUAAUUACCGACCACACAACCAAACAACUGCGAAUCGAACUCCUCGUAGUCUUUUGCUUCACCAAAGCAAAAGAUUUCACUUUUAUGAAAGUUUAUCUUUAGGCCCGAUAAUUGCUCAAAGGUUCUCAAUAACAGUUUCAUAUUGACUGCCUUCUCAAUAUCAUGGCUCAUAAAGAUGACUGUGUCAUCCGCAUACUGAAGGAUUGACAAACCAUCCUCGAGUAAAUCAAGAAUAACCCCCUCGACCAAACCUUCCUCUUUCGCUCUGGCAAUUAGAAUGGCUAACAUGUUGACUACUAUAUUAAAUAGUAUAGGCGACAUAGGAUCAUCUUGUCUAAGGCCUUUUUUGGUCUGGAAGUAAGAACCUAAUUGAUCAUUCACCUUAAUGUUAACAUUGCCCCCUUCAGUAAACCUCUGUACCCACUUACACCAUUUUUGUGAAAAACCUUUCAUUCUCAAAGUUUAUUGUAAAAAACUCCAUAAUCUUAUCAUAGGCUUUUUCAAAGUCUAUUUUGAAAAUCACGCCAUUCUUCUUUUUUGAGUGUAGCUCGUGUAUUGUUUCAUGCAAAAUUACCGCUCCCUCCAUAAUAUUCCUUCCUGGCAGAAAGGCUGUCUGAGUAGGUCUAAUUAUUUUCUGAGCUAUGGAAGUCAAUCUGUUGGUUGCGACUUUAGUGAAGAUUUUGAAAGAUACAUUCAGUAAACAAAUAGGUCUGUAUUGCUGAAUGACUCUUGCAUCCUUCUUUUUUGGCAACAAAAUUAUAGUUCCAAAAUUAAGGCGAUUCAAAUGCAAAUUACCUUGAUGGAAUUUCGAGAACAAAGCCAUCAGAUCAUCCUUUAUAACAGACCAGAAAACCUGAUAAAACUCUGGAGGAAAGCCAUCUGGGCCAGGCGCCUUAUUAUGUUCCAUCUGGAAAAUCGCAACCCGCACUUCUUCUUCCAAAAAAGGUUGGGUUAAAAACUCAUUUUCCAGUUCGGAGACUUGUGGAAUAUCACCGGUUUGAGUCUCAUCCAGCUCGAUCGGAGUGAUCUCUGGUGGACCAAACAAAUUCUUAUAAUAACUAGUAAUAUGCGCUUUUAGUUGUGCAUCACCAGUUAUUAAAUUAACCCCAUCCUCCAACCGAAAAAUUUGAGUUUUUCGAUGCCUGCCAUUAGCCAGUAAAUGAUAAUAUUUUGUGUUUGCAUCUCCUUCUAGAAGGUGUUUUAAUUUUGCUCUUUGGUACCACUUUAUCUCCUCUUCCCUCAACAGCUCAGACAAUCGUUCGUUGAGUACAUGUUUUAAAUCCACCUCCUGCUGAGUAAGGAGCAUUAUUUCCGCUUUUUUAUCGAGGGCAUCUAGUUUAUUCAGAAUUGUUUUUUUUUCCUUUUUAUACACGCCACUGACAUUUCUUUCCCAUCCUCUUAGAUAUUGACGAAGCCUGCUUAUUUUGGCUUGCCACCGUUCUAUAGGCGAGCCACUGACUAUUGUACUUUGCCACACAUCCUUAACCAUCUCACAAAAUCCUUCCCUCAGCAACCAACCCAAUUCUAAUUUGAAUUGAGGCUGAUAAUUUGAGGACGGAUUAUUUGUAGAAAAUAGCAGGGGUGUGUGAUCCGAAAUUUCCCUAGUCAGUGCUUGAACAGUGGUAUGCGGAAACUUAGAUUCAAAAUCUGUACAAACUAGAACUCUAUCUAUUCAAAAGUCUGAAUUGGUAAAUUAUUUGCCCAAGUGAAAUUACGCCCGGACAUCUCAAUCUCUCUCAAGUUUAAAGAGUCAAUCACCGCAUUGAAUAAAAAAGGCCACCUAUUAUUAAAAUUAGCAUUAUUUUUCUCUUGUGGUCGCCGUAUGAUAUUAGAGUCGCCUCCUAUAAUUAUAGGUAAAGCUUCUUUAGAACAUACAUUGACUAUUUCAGAUAAGAACAAAGAUUUAUGUUCUGCUUGCGCCGGGCCAUAAACUUAAAUCCAAUUAAACUUAAAGUCAUCCUCUCUCCGCCUGAUCUUAAAGCGAACAAAAAAAAUCUCCUUCCUCAAUCUCCCCUAUAUCAAAGUUAAGAAGAUUAAUACCUAGUAACAUACCCCCAGACCGUCCCCGCGGAGCCAUACAAUGCCAUAAAUAAUCUCUGCCAGCACAAAUAUUAUUUAAAGUGGAUUGUGGAAAAUUUGCUCUACCAGUUUCCGACAAGGCAAUGAAAUCUAGGUUCUUCUCUUUUGUUAACUCAUUAAAAAAUCUAUACUUUUUACAGCGCAAAUCCAUUACAAUUCCAAAAAAUACCCUUCAUUGCGACCGACUUUGUGAUUUGUGAUUCUUCUUCCUAGAGCCUUUUACAGAUGAUAAGGGGGUUUGAAGACCCUUAGGGUCACAACCUCCAUCACCUAAACCCUCUGCUAUCUCAGAGCAAAUUAAAUUAAGUGCAUCCAAAUCCAGAGAAUCUUCGAAAGAACAAGCUGAAGCAUCAUCCAAAAUUUCUUUAUUCGAAGUAUCAAUUGUUUUAAAUUCAGCUAUACGUUGUAAUUCUAAAUUUCUUAAAUUUUCUAAUGAAUUAUGAAUCUGAGCAGUAUCAUCCCCUAACCGAACCCCUAUAGAAUUGACUGAAUGUAAAAGACUAGUGUCAUCCCGGGAAAUAAAAGAAAGUGUAAGGAGAUUUUUACCUUUAUCAUUAGAGAUCUCUAGGUUGUGGCGCGCUUUCAACUUUGUUGCCUUCUCUACCGAGUCUUGAUCUGAUGUUGCGGCCGUCCUCUUACUUGAUCUCACAGGAGACACUGUCCCACCUUUCUGGCCUUUCAGCUUGUUAGUGAUCAUUUACUAUGAGUUUUAGAUUAUUGUAAUGAUAGUGAAUCAUAUUAUAUCUCUGGUCAAUGAAGUUGCUAGUAGAUGGGAAGUUCUUUGUGUUUUUGCUCACAAAUUAUAUGAGCAGCAGCUGCUUUUUAUUGCCAACCUCUCCUCUCAUCUUCGUUUGAGUGGAAUUGGUCAUUCUGCAGCAAUUUUGGCAAAUUUGAGAUUAUUUGGUAGGGUUGCUACCUAUUUCUCUACUUCAUCCACUCUAUGUCACUCCAAGCUCAAUAUCUAUUUUACUUACUGCUCAUAUUCUUAAAACUACUGCUGCUCAUAUAUUGCUGCUCAUAUAUCCUAAAACUAAAUCUGGGUCCUAAAACCGAGCUAUGAACUACUCUUGUACUACAUGGUCUCCACUCUGCUGCUCAUAUAUUGCUGCUCAUAUGUUGGUCUCUGCUACCUUCUAGUUAUAAGCAGCUGUUGCUUUUUUUUUCACCUUUCUAUCCUCUAUGUUUGGGAAGCAGCCGCUGCUUUUUUCGACCCCUCUCUAUAUAUGUUUUUAAGCAUCUACUGCUUUUUAUUGCCAACUCUCCCCUCUCCUCUUCGUUUGAGUGGAAUUGGUCACUCUGCAGCAAUUUUGGCAAAUUUGAGAUUAUUUGGUAGGGCUACUGCCUGUUUCUCUACUUCAUCCACUCUAUGUCACUCCAAGCUCAAUAUCUAUUUUACUUACUGCUCAUAUUCUUAAAACAGUUGCUGCUCAUAUAUCCUAAAACUAAAUCUAGGUCCUGAAACCAAGCUACUUUGAACUACUCCUAUACUACCUUCUAAGUUGGUCUCCACUCUGCUGCUCAUAUAUUGAUGUUCAUAUGUUGGUCUCUACUACCGUCUAGUUAUAAGCAACUGUUGCUUUUUUCACCACCUUUCUAUCCUCUAUGUUUGGGAAGCAGCCACUGCUUUUUUCGACCCCUCUCUAUAUAUGAUUGUUAAGCAGCUGGUGCUUUUUUGGCCAACUCUCCCUCUCCUCUCCUCUCUAUUUUUGCCGAUGAUCAUUUAUUAUAUGGAAAUAUGAGCUGAUGAUCAAAACUUGUGAGGAACCUGGCAUUGUUGUUUGCCAACUGUUGACGGCCAUUAAUGUCAACUUUUAUAAGAACUCUAGACAUGAAAAGAAACAUAAAUACCUGCUAGUCUAGGGUUUAUCUAACAAUUUCCAUGAGUUUUGGAGUUUAUGUAUUUUCUAGGGAGUGAUCCAGAAAAGGAGCAAAUGGAGGAUUAGAAUGCAAGAAAACCACGAAACUUAUCCACGACGAAAGCGACAACUAUCAGAUCGGGGGAAGCAUCUAGAAGCCACCAGAGAAGGCGGGCCUGAGGGCUGCUAGGUGGGGCAGCCUAGCCCCACCAUGGCGCCAGCCGGUGCCCCCCUAGGGAAAACGUCCUCCGCCUUCUAGAGUCUUCUACUACCAUCUAGAGGAUGCAUCUAAGCCGUGUGUUUAUGUCGGUUUGAUCCUCUGGCACACGUUCACCCCAUCGGACUAUAAAUAGAGAGGCAGACCCCCCUCCCUGGAGGCAUAACCAGUUCAUUCAGUCAUUCAUAAAGUCAUCAUCAAGAAGCCUUCAAGUUCAUCAAGAGCCUUCUAGUUCUUAGUUCUAGUCUAGUUAGAUUAGAAGUAGAGGAGAUCUAGUUCUUCAUCGGGAUCCAGAGCUUCUAGCGUCUGUCUGGAGCUUAGUCUAGGAAUAGAUGUAGUUCUUUCUUCUACAUUAUUGUAUUCAUCAUUAUGAUUAGGUAGACUUUAUUCUUAAUAGAUCAUAUGUUCUUAAUUGCAAUCUUUGUCUACUUUAAUUAUAUGUCUAGUUUAGUUGGUUUGAUCUUAUUGAAUUCGUGUAAUUGCUCAUAUAGAGUCUGCCCAAUCGAGAUUAUGGUCUUGAGCAGCUGUUGGGUAGAUGGUAGGCAAUAUGUAGACGUAGUCCACACUGAUAGCUGCAUUGGUUCCUUUGUAGUCCAUCCCCCGUACAUAGGCCAGCUGACACGGUCACGAAUGGGGCGGCCCUCGUGUCUUAAUAUCCCUGCUAGAUGAUGUCCUUUGCAUGUGAUGAUGAUGUAGGAACCAAGCUAACGAUGAUUGCUAGAUGUAAUUGCACUAAGAGUUAUUCAUUGAUGUAGUUAUAGAAUACCUUAGACAUUUAUUUUCUUAUCUUAAUAUUGGCUAGCUAGUAACAUGACUAGAAUGAUGCUUUGAUGUUUAUCUUUAAUGAUGAUUGGCUAUAGUUAUCACAUACAUUUAUCUAUCUUUAUCUAUUGUGACACCUGUCUGUUAAGAGUAGAAUAGAUUGCUUGUUUUAGUAUAUAGUUUCUAUCAAUAUAAUAUAAUAGACUGAAGUUUAGCUAGACCUUCCCAGUGGUAUAAAUAUAAAUCGACAACUUGGUAAUACUCUAGGUAAAAUGCUACAGUGGUAUAAUUAUCUUUCCACUUGCAGAAUUGAUCUUAUUUCAUAUUCAUCUUUAUUUAUUUCUGCCUACUGACAUGAAUUGAAUUAUAUAUAAUGUAUUGAUUCCAUAGCAUAUAGGGAUGACAACCUUGUUCAUGCUUAAGGAUAUUGGUAGAUGAGUGGCUAGUUGCUAAUGACAAGUAUUUUACAUACCUUACAUUUCUUUAGCCUCAUUAAUUAUAAUGUCGUUAAGAAGUGUCAACAACCAUUUUUGGCGCCGUUACUAGGGAAGGCACAUUAGACUUAUAAAAUAUUGAUAACCUAUAUAUUAUGAAUAAGAUUAUAUUUCAAAUUUGAUUUCUAUUCAAAUAGGCACACCCUUGUUUUUAUCAUUGUUUAUUUUAUGCAGUGUGAUGAAUGAAUUGUUUUUCUCUUCCGAAUAAUUUCACUGACGAUCUAGAGAAGAUCCUAAGAAGGAGGAAGUUUGUUGAGGUAAGGGAUAAUUUCGAGUCACCAUCAAGAACACCCAUUGCCGCUAGACCUUCCCAGUGGUAUAAAUAUAAAUCGACAGCCUAGUAAUACUCUAGAUAUAUAAAAUGCUACAAUGGUAUAAUUAUCUGUCUGCUUGAUCUAUUUCAUAUUCAUCUUUACUUAUUUCUGCCUAGUCACAUUAAUUGAAUUAUAUAUAAGCCUGUAUUGAUUCCAUAGCAUAUAGGGAUGGAUGACAAACUUGUUCAUGCUUAGGGAUAUUGGUAGAUGAGUGGCUAGUUGCUAAUGACAAGUAAUUUACAUACCUUACAUUUCUUUAGCCUCAUUAAUUAUAAUGUCGUUAAGAAGUGUCAACACCAACUCUCCUCUCUCCUCUCCUCUGUUAUAUAUUUUGAUGCCUUGAUGCUCCAAGUUCAUGAUCAAAUGAUGCUAGACAUGUUUUUGAGGCCACCACUACUUCUACUACUUGGUUUUUAGAGUAUAUUCUUAUGCUCCAAGUUCAUGAUCAAAUGAUGCCUAAACUUAACUUAGCAUUUUCCACUCUCACAUGUACUGAGUUUUGAAAAGAGAAAUGCCUCUAUAUAAGAAUUGGAGUAGAACUCUGAACUUAUGCUGAACUCUGAACUAUGAACUUUCUGCUCAUGCUUAUUGCUACUACUCCUGCUAGCUGCUUAUAUGUUGUACUCAUGCAUUGGGAUCCGUUUGAGAGGAAUUGGUCACUCUACAACAAUUUUGACAAAUUUGAGAUAAUUUGGUGGUGCUGCUGCCUAUUUCUCUACUUAAUGCACACUAUGUCACUCCAAGCUCAAUAUCUAUUUUACUUACUAAUGCUCUACUCCAUGGUCAAAUUCUUGUAUUUGUAUGGUUGUAUAUGCUUUUUGAUUCUGUCCAACACAUAUGCUCAUAUUCUAAACUACUCCUGUACUACUGCUACUGCUCAUAUAUUGCUGCUCAUAUUCUUCUACUACCUUCUUUUUAUGCUCAUAAUCAGUUUGAGAUUAAUUAACACUUAAAAUGCAUAUGACCUUGAUUCUGUCCCAUUCUGUUUAUACUACUAGUACCAUCUUUAUAUGCAACUACAUGUUUGCAGUUGUUGGUCUCUACUACCUUCUAGUUAUAAGAAGCUCUUGCUUUUGUGCCACCUUUCUAUCCUUUAUGUUUGGGAAGCAGCCGCUGCUUUUAUUGCACCUCUCUAUAUAUGAUUGUUAAGUAUCUGUUACUUUUUUUUGACAACUCUCCCCUCUCCUCUCCACUCUGUUUUUUUGCCGAUGAUGAAAUUGUCAAAGUCCCUUCACUAUACGGAAAUAUGACUUGAUGAUCAAAAACUUGUGAGGAACCUGGUGUUGACGGAAAUUAUAGCAUAAAAUGCACAUCCAAAACACCGUCAACAACCUCGGUUUCAAGGAAGAAUCACAUGACAUAGACAUAUUUUAUAAAUAAUUGGUUCCAGAUGUACCUUGAGCUUGUGAAUGCAGGACUUAGCAAAAUGGCACAAAAUAGAGCUGAAGUGGGCCCACAUGGGGGAUCGGCCGAUCCCCCUAUGCCACCUCCUCAAGGUGCCACGUAGGCAUGAUCCAGGGCAACCUCCUAGAAGCAAUUUUUUGCCUUCGUAUCAGAGUGUGCUUUCUCUCAACGGCUGAAAUCAAGAGCACAGGGAUUCAUGGGUCCACAUGUUAGAAGAACCGGUGACAACGUGCAACAAGUGGGUGAACUAGUGCCUAUGACCAGUGGGGACACCAACCAACUGACUCUGGCUGGCCCCACCAGUCAUAAGGGGAUCGGCCGAUCCCCCCUAGCGCCAGCCAGGUCGGUUGGCCCACCAUCGACUUCCCCACAUUGAGCACAUGUUAAUUUGAUACAAGACGUUGGAUUAAAGGCGGUUUCAAGGUUGGUUUGAUCCAAUGGCCAUAAAGCAACGUCACGUGGAUCGAUGACAUGGCGAUGGAGUAGCCCCUACUCCACCUCUCCUUAUAAAUACCUGCUGUAUUCACCCUCUCAAGGCAUGAUGUGAUAGUUUUCAAGACUACAAGUCUAGUUUCUUUAGUAGUUGUAGUCUUGUGUGGGAGUUAGAGUCGAGUCGAGCGAAGCUCCGGGUCUCUAGAGUCGUCUUGUGGAGAGUCUGAUAUUCCUCUUGUACUUUCCUUUUGCAAUACAUUAAUUUAUAUUUCUCUUCUACUUUCCUGAGUAUUUACUUAGUGCAAUAUUAUUCCUACAACAGUGUUGUUGUGUCUUAGCCUAGUUUGCUAGUAGUACAAGGUAGAUUGUGAUCCUAUUACCACUCCUUAGUUGUUACCAACAUCUUUACAAGUUGCUCUAGCUAGGACGUAUUCUUAGUCAGAGUAGUGAGAGUUAGUGUAGGCGCGGUGCCUAGACUAAGUCUCAUCGUUGGAGGCCACUAGUCUUCACAGAAGGUCUAUGGGCUCACUGGCUUGAAGUGAUAGUUUGGGCUUGGCAUUAGAUCCCACCACGUAGAGGGUAGUAAUUAAGACUGCAGGGCGUACAUAAGUUUGGUCUCGCUUGAGCAGGGGUUCUGUCUCCUUCUCUCUCAUUUCCUCCUAGCAACUAAGUUAGUGAGGUAGCAAUCCUAGCUUGUAUCUUCUAUCUAAUUACACUAGAACACAAAAGUAGAGGUAGAAUCCAUAGGAGUCCUUAACUCACUCGUUGUCCUCCCACCUAGCAGCUCUACGUUAGUUAUCUUUAGUUGUCUUAGGAUCAGCAUCAUCAACCUUCCAUCCAAAUCAUCAUCACCUUUCCUUGCUCUUGUUGCCAUUAGAUUAUGAUAGGGAUAUCUUUCCUCUUGAACCAUUUCUAUCUACUGCUUUCCUUUGGGAUAAAUAUAAAUUACGAUACCUUGGACUACUCCCGGGUGAAGUGCUACAAUGGUACAUUCUAUGCGCUUGCGAAAUCAUCCAACAGACAUUUGAAUUACCACAUACUUGGCAUCUCUAGUGACAUCGCUAUUUUUGCGGUGCUGCUAAGAAACACCAACAAGCAUUUCUGGCGCCGUUGCCGGCAAAAGCAUAGCCUAGAAAUUUUAAUUGGAAUGAAUUUAGAAAACUAUCUUAAUCUUUGUGUCAAAUAGUUUUAAGGAGGUUUACCCAUUGCCUUUGCUUCUCUAUAUUAGUGAAGCCAGGCAUUGAAUGAGUGAGAUCCAAUCCGAACCUACCACAUCUUACUCAGGAUCACUCAAGGAAGGAGGCUCAGCACCAACAGUCGAAAAGUUGAUGGCCACCUCAAUCUCUGACUACUAUACUCCCUCGGUCACUCGUAUAAUGAGAGGACCAAGAGUGGAUGUAGGGGAAGCCAUGUUUGAGAUUAAGCCAUCACUUAUCUCAAUGGUGCAAGCCAAUACAUUUGAAGGAAAGCCACACGAGGAUGUGAAUGCACAUCUCCAGCGGUUUCUGGAGGUGUGUGGCACCAUUGUCAUCAAAGGGAUCUGUUGGUGCAAAAACUGGUUUGCAAACACAAAGGGCUAAUACUCGAUUCAAACGUUAAGGUGUACAAGCCGAUUUGACCUUACAAUCGACAAUGGUGGUAACUCGAACACUUUGGUCCCGACAACAGCGAUGCGCCCGGAUGUCACGGCCAAGAGGUGCUCACGCAGAACUUGAGAACACGCCGAGCUCAAGUCGACGAAUUCCUAAGAACUCGUAGUAAAAAGGAAAAUAUGACGAAAUCGUCAAAAAGUAGAUGCUGGAAUAUGAGUAAAAACUUGUGUUUGAUUGAUUGAUAGAUGCCUCAUUACAUUGCCCUAGGGUCUACAUUUAUACCCUGUCCAAAGAGCUACAACCAGACACGACUAGGACUCAAAUUCCAAAUUAAACGGAAAUCGUAUACAAAACGAAUUCUAAUAACUAAGGAAAACAUUAAACUACCCCCCGUAACCGAACGGGACACCGCCACGAAUCAAUCGGCAACUUUCAUGCUUUCCUCAAGAGUCAUCGACAGACUACCUAUUACGGCCAUCGGCAAAUACUGGCACUGGUCAUCGGCACGAAUAUACCAUCACUUCUGGACAUGGUCAUAUUCGGUUGUCUCCCCAUCGGCAACCACCUUCAUCGGCAACCUCCCUGCAGACUGGUCACCACUGCUCCAUCUGCCGAUCUACAUCUCAUUAACUCCAGAUGCGUAUCAAACGAUACGUGUCCAAAAACGGUGUCAACACAUGCCCCCCAAUUUCGAAGUAUAAAUCAUUAAUGCUCCAAAAUUCUCUGCAGUAAUGAUGCCUUUCCGCAAUUAUUUCUCCCAACCUGGUAAUCAAUCGCUAAAUCUAAACAACCUCGGCCCGAUUCUCCUGCAGAUUCCUCGAAUCUCUCAACUUCUCAAUCAAAUCUCCCCACUUUAUGCGCCCAUCGGCAACAUUACCGUUAGAGAAAACUGCCGAUGGACCGACCAUGCGAUCUUGUACAGUGAAAUAUCUUCAAAAUCAUGACCGCUUGCUGUCAAAUCACCUGCACAAUCCCUUGAUUACCGUGCGAACAGUUACCAUAUCCACCUGAACACCCUCGGAUUUCACAGAUGCAGCAAAGAGAUAAGUCAGAUUUGCCCCUGCCCGUUUUGUCCUAUAAAUACUUCCUUCUCCGGUACUCCUCCAUCUUAUCAUUCUACAGCCCAAAAUCUACUUUCCUGGCAGCGGCAUUGCCCGAGAGCCCCAAGAACUUCAGCAAGAGUCUCCUUCAUCUAUCCUUCAAGUCCGCGUUCCUCUUCCUUGCGAAGAAAUGGCCAUCAACUUCGUCGUUCCUGAGGUCAGUCUAUCAUCCUUUUUCUUUUUGCACUUUUGCUAUACUCCUGUUCAUCUGCGAUUCCUUUUACUGAGUACCCUCUUUCUUCUUUUUUUUGUUCUUUCAUCCUCAAAACUUUUAGGAUUUGGCCGAUAAGAUUGUAAUCUCUACCGAUCAACCCCGCUUGCAAUGUCUCGGCCCGCUAGGAAAUCCAGAUCCCACCGAUCUAAUAAACGCAGAGACAAAUAGAAUCCCCUUCAGAGCCAAAAACUUUUCCUUAGAUCUGUGGAAAGAUGCCUUUCGUUCCUAGCCCAGUCCCACCAAGAGAUGGAAAGAUUGGUUCCUGAGAGUCAGCCAUUCAAAUGAGGUCCAGUGGGGUGAGUGGAAAUUAGACCAGUGCAUCAGAUUAUCUCUUGCCAAUAUGGAGAGAAAUGAGUCAUUGCUGAUAGCUGCCUCGUAUUUUUGGUCAGACACGCACAAUGCUUUUGUAUUGGGUCAUGACCCUACUUCACCCACUCUUGCCGAUGUACUCAUGCUCACCGGCUUAGACAUAUCCACUGCCGAUAGUAGUCACCUGUUUGAUACCAAGCCCAGUGCUAAAGUAGAAACUCGCGCUAUCGGCGGUUGGUCUGGAUAUAUUCAGAAGUACCGAAAGACAGGACCUGUCAGGGAGAGGGAGCAGACAAUUUUCCUAAACAUGUGGUUGGAUAAGUUUGUGUUCUGUGGCCGAUCGGCGGGACCAACCUCUGUCUAUUUAUCGGCAGCAGAGAAACUAGCCAAAGGUGGCUGAUUUCCUCUUGGCCGAUAUUUGCUCUGUGCUGUUUAUCACCUCCUUCAUCAGGUAGCUAAGAAACUCCUGCUGGGCCAGUCCAUCGGCAAUCUAGUGGGACCCUGGUGGUUUAUCAACAUGUGGCUCAGUGUCCAUAUGCACAAGCGCCUUGAAUUCAACCUCUUUGUACAGCGCUUCCCUAGAGACAUAGCCGAAGAUCACGAGUUGGAUGAAGAAGAAUCGGCAACUCGUCCCCCUCUGAACUACGGUGAAGCUGCGAUAGUUCUGCCUGGUACCGGUGGCAAUCAAGACCAGGUUAGUCGAUUCUUUCAGACUCUUUAUGAGGGUCUGACCAAAGAACAACAGGCAUGGAUGCCUUAUGAAGAUCCAGAUACCAGAUUUCCCCUGACUUUUCAUCCUUUUGAUAAUGCUCUCAACAAAGACCUUGAUCUGAUGAUGGCAAUCAUCACUUCGAGAGCUAUACUGGUGAAUUUUUUUGGCAGUGGGAAAACUUCCAACCUUACCUAUGAGUUCUACAAUCCAUUGGCAUUGGCCCGUCAAUUGGCUUUUGGACAGCUGCCGAUUGCACUCUGUUAUGCUGAUGUGGUGAAACCAAGGGAGAUCAUCACCAGUGGUCUUGAGUGGAUCAGAAUUGCCCAACUCCCACCAAAUGCCGACACGUCAGAUAUCGAUCUAUCGGCCUGGAUUCUAGCCCUCUUCAUCACCCAGGCGUACAAACAAUGGUGGGUAGAAUGGAAGGAGCAUUUGUUCUGCAGAUCGGCUCUCACAUACCGCGGUAUGAUCGACUCCGCGUACAAGGUCCCUGAUAACACUGUAAGUCUUCAACCGAUGCUUCAAUCUUAUUAUUUUUGCUUUCAUCGGCAACUUACUUCCUCUAUUUUACACAGGUCGAUGAUACACCACCGUCAGUCAGUAGAAGUGGUAGGUCGAUCGAACUUCUUCCAUCGGGCCUGAUUUCUUUGAUCGGCAAUAACGUUCCAAGUCUGAUGGCCCUAAUGCACCGGGGCGCGCGUUUUAAGAAAAUCACCACCAAGCGGACCAAGACAUCUCCAUCGGUCGCUGCUGCUGCUCUGGCGCAAGUUUUCAAGGAAGAAAGUUUUUAUCUCUUCAAUUUAUAUCGAUCCCACUCCAUACUUAUACGGCUUUUUCAGGAUACAUCGGCAGCCAUGGGCACCUCAUUGGUAACUUUCUCAACCAUCAUUCCAUUAAUACUCUGUUACACUUGUACUCAUGAAACCUUUAUUGUUGUAUCAGCAAACUGGCAAAUCGGCAAAGACCAGAAGUGCCAAGGCAAGCGCCGAUGCCCCCCAAGCUAGCCAAGCCAAGAGAAAGGGUCCCAAGAGUACCAAGUCACAAGCCAAGCGUCAAAGGACAGCAUCACCUCCUCCUCCUCCUCUAGGGUCACCGAUUCAUGUGGAAUCAUUCCCUUCUUCGCCAGAAGCUCAGACACAACAAGUACCAUCUCCACCUCAGCCACAAGAAGAACCUCAGCCAGAGGAGAUAUCAACCGAUGUACCUGAGCAGACCGUCGACCCAGUGGGUCCAAUUAUAGCAUCGGUAGUCUCCUCAAUCCAGACAAGCAUUGCAUCCCCUCAAGGUAAAGUUCUGUCCAUAAAAUCAUUACCGAUGGACUUAUCUUUCUACCCAAUAAUUAUUCCUGUUAAUUUCUUUUAGCUGACAUCGUCCCAUCGGCAACUCCGGCCGAUCAUCCUGUUGCACCAUCGGCCUCAACUAGCUAGAGGCGAGAGAUAGCUUUGAAACAAGUAAGCUAUUUGAUUAUCAUCCUUUAUUUCACCAAUCAUUUUAUUAUCAAAUAACCUAUCUUCUUUUCUUUUUUCAGGAACAAGAUUCUCCCGACAGCCUGUUCUCCUUUGCCAUCGAAAUCUCUGAUGAUGAAGGCGAAGAAGCAAGCUCUUCUCAAGCAAUCGGGAUCUCAUCAGCAGAAAUCAGAGCGAAGCUGGAAGAUUUGUUGGCCCUGCUUCACCAGGAUACAGCCCAACUGGUUGAUGACUCCGAACCAGCCAAGGCUCCGUUCAAAGUUUUCAGAGGCCAAAUCCCCGCCGAUGCUGAGGAGAUUCUUUUCAAGGCCGCACACUUGGAGAGUCGACAGCUCCAGUAAAAAAAAGCCACUCAGCGUCUUGCCGAUAGAGCCACUCAUGCUCAACUUUCACAGGAGGUAAUGAAAGUAAAGCAUCUUGCUGAUGAGAAACACAAGAGCAUCGGCAUUCUGAAAGCCUCUGGAGACUCACUGAAAUAAAAGAUUUAUGACCUAUCGACGAAAAGAGAAGUUCUGUUGGCAGAACUUAAACAAGUAGAAGAAGCUUUGUCCCAAGUUCAACAGGAAGAAAGCCAGCUGCCCGAAACGAUCAAGACUCUCGAACAAGAGCGAAAUGUCUAAGCUCGCAAGGCGCUGCAGUUGAAGAAGAAGCUGAAACCAGUGGAAGGUUCUACCGAUGAAGACAUCAGGGAGAUAGAAGAAGCUGAUCAAAUUCGACUGCGUGCUAUAUCGGCAAUUCAAGCCCCUCUGAGUGCAUAAGCUUUUCAUCGGCAGCAUGCUUUGUUCUUUCUCUAAAACCCUUGAACAUUUUGGUCUAGCUGUCGGGCCCUCAAUUUGAGAGUCCAAGUGUACACAUAUUUGUGCUAGGAUCGAGCACAAAUACGCAUGAGAUAACAGAAUUGGCACUCAGAUUUAAUAUAAAAUACCGAGCUUUAUUGAUAUAUUAAAAAAAAUAUAUGGUCUUACAAUAGUCAUGGUUCAGAUGGUAUAGCCAUAGGCAUUACAUAGCUAGCGAGAUUUUGCUGUCGUAAAGCAACAAUUUAUUACAACAGGAUGGUAGAUACUACAGCGGAUUCUAUAGCAUAGCGAUAAUCUAAACCACAGGCAAGCUUGAGCGCGGCCGAAACCCUAUGCCCUAGAGACUCCUAGCAUAUCCGUAGACCUUCGUGUGGCUCCUAGUCCUCGUGGUCCGCCUCCUCGUCGACGUUGUAGUCCUCCUCGGGGUUGAUAUCUGUGAGUCAUCAACAGGUGAGUACAUACAGUACUCAGCAAGCCCUAACCUUGGGGUACGGUGGAGUGGAUGGUGGAGAUGGUAAAGGAAUGGUGGUAUAGUACAAUUAAAUAAUGAUUGGGCCUUGGGAGAGAAUUACUCUUCUCGCCAGUUUCCAAGUUAGUUUCACAAAUAUUGAAAUAAUUAUGUUAGCACAGUCCCAUUUCACAUAAAAGAUAACUAAUCAUAAGAGACCUCAUCCUAGUGGUUGCCCAUUCCAAGGACGUGGCUAUUCGAAUAGGUUUAUUACUCUUUGCAGAGGGUGUACACUUUCCCCACAUGAUAGGCACAAUCCCAACCAUGAUCAGUCGUAGAAUUAACCUAACGAGAUCCCGUUCCCGGUUGACGCGACCUUGGGUUUCCAUAUAAUUCUACUGCGGCCUAUUCAGGGGUCGGUAACCACAAAGCGUUUGGAUGGUCACAUGACAUCCUAUCAGCGUUUGGAUGAUCACACAACAUCCAAUUAAAAAAGGGGCUCGCACCCGGCCCAACAAUAAUUUCACAUGGAAGAUCACAUUGCAACCAUGCCGACCAGACCAUGGAGAUCACACAUCAACCAUGUCCUUUCCUGAUAGUCCGUUGCCACCCCGGCCUCCUAGUAACAAUUAUAUUUCUACCCAACGGGGUGUGAGAUCAAGUCUACCCAUAUAGACAUGUGGUUGUACGCAUAUCACACUAGGUGAGAUUGCCUAUGAACCGGUCCUUACAUGACCGAAACGAGCAUCUCCAACAGGAACCCUCUCUAGGCGAUCCUGCCAAGGUAAAUCAUACCACAUGAUUUACCCCCGCUCGUUCCCGUCUAACAUGUUCGAGUUCACCAAAUUUAUGUUGCAUAUUUAUAUAGUUCAGUUCACAACUUGUCCAUAUUAGAAGUUCAUAGAAUAUCAUAUAGUUCCCAUCAUAACAUGCAGGUCAUUCCAUUUUACGAAUAUUCAACGGUUCGUAACUGUAACAUCCCUGAUGUUACGGUUACUAAAAUUCGGAUCAUGGCAUCAUCAGCAUUGCACAGCAUAGUUGUUAAGCACACCUUGAUGCAUCAACUUAAAAUGAGUUUAAUUUGGUUGAAUGUUCUUAGGGAAUUAAAGUGUGUUUAUCUUGUUUAUUGAUGCUUGAGUUGGUUGCUAAAACCCUAGGGUGAAAGGUUUCCGAAAGGCUUAGGGAGGAAAACCCUAAUUUUUGAACCCUAGAAUUGCCCCCUUUUGCACAAUUCAAAAACUAAGCAAAAUUUGAGGUUGCGUUCAAAAGCAAAGUUGUAGAUCUUGUCAAGAUGUACAACUUUGGUGUUUUGAGUUUUUGAAGUUUCAAUAUAAAAUUCAAAGUAAUUUUGAAAAUAAAGAUUUCCAGAAAGUGUCCCCUUUUCUAAUUUGAAUCUCCAAUUCAAAAUCUGUUUGGAAUUUUGAAAAGUGACUAACAUAAAAGUUGUAGAGCUCAAAAAGUUGAACAACAUUCAUGUUGGGAGUUUUUCAUGUUGUUUAGGAAAAACAAAAGUAAUUUUGGAAACUCUGAUCUGCCCCAAUUAAAAAAUUUGGAUUUCCCCAAAUUGGAUUUUGAAUUUCAAACUGUUUGGUCAAAAAUCACCAUGUUCCACUCAAAAUUGGCUUUGGUCACCAAAACAUGUUUUGUAGCUCACAAAAUUUUGCACAACUUUUGUUUUGGUGGCACUUUGACUUUAGUUCAAAUUUUGGCCAAAUUUUACAAAAGGCAGAGAAGGGGGGGAUAAGGGUCGGCUACAGUGAUCCGAUAUGGAUCACGGCGCCCCUGUCCAGCGCGGCCGCCGCGCGCGCAGCACCGCGUAUGCGCGUGCAGGCACGCAGCUGCUUGCUUGCCUGCGUCGCCAGGCGACGUGGACGCCCCGGGCUCGCUUCCUCCUCCCUUUGAGCACCAGCGUGGACGACGCCGCUCGAUUUCGCUGUCCACGGCCGAAGAAACCCGACGCCUCCCUCUCUCAAAUUCACCGUACUAGGUCCCCCUCGAGCCAAAUUAAGCAGUCCACUAUGUUCGCCACCUCCUUGCGAAUCCAGUGCACCCCCGAGCUCACUCCCUAACCCCCUCAAACGCCAGAGAUUCUCCCUCUUCUCCAUCUCCGGCGGCAUCGCCGCCGUGGAACCCUUCACGUGGACACGCUGCUCCAGUCGGUACCACGCCUUGCCAGCGGUCGUUUCAAGCUCUUCUCGUUUCCACGAUGCUCAUGCGCUCGCUCUUUCUCCCUGGACGUGAACAGGACCACCGGAACGACCUCGCCGGAGCCGGAGCACCCGCCCGACCGGACGACCACCGUCGCCAAGCCCUUCUACUGCUUCUCCCGCCGUGGUGAUGUGAGCACCAUGAUCCCCACUUCUUCCCAACCUCCCGGACCUGCUGGUUCACGCUCUACCGAGCCCUCGUGCCCGGUCUUCGGGCGACCGAUGCGGCCGUCCGCCAUUUGUGCGGCUGAGGUAGAAAGAGAGCGGUAGAGCGUCCGCGAGUAGUAGCUAUGGAGUCACAAGGUUGACGCGAAGCUGAUCCGCACCCUGGCGCGGGCUCAACCCUCGCCAGUGGUGGCCGGGGCCAUGGCAGUGCCGCCGUGCGUGAGGAAGGAGGCGCAGACGGGUGGGGCAUCCCCGUCAGUGACCCGCAGAAGGAGGAAGGGGGGGUCUGACGAGCGGGACCCGCCCGUCAGUGACCCACAGAGAGAGGAGGGGGUGAGCGCGCAGCGCCCGCAUGGGCCGGUCUGCGGGCCUUUUGGCUGGGCCUCGCCCAGUUCCAGUUUGUUUUUCUUUUUUUCCUUUUGUUUAAAAAUGCGUAAUGUUUGAAUUUGAAUAGAAAAUCUUGUGUAUAAAAAUUGCCUCUUUUAUUUAAUGAAUAAAAUUUCUCUGAAUUUUAAUAAUUUAUUUGCAUAUCCAGAAAUCACCAAAAUUUGUGGGGAGUCUCUGAAUAUUAUUCCCUGGCUCCACACAAAAUUUGAUGGCAUUUGGAUAAUGUUUGAAUAAAAUAUUAAUAAACCCUUACUUAGUAAUUAAAUAAUAUUUCUAGAAUAAUUAGAUAAUAAUUAGUUAAAUCCUCAUGAUUAGAGUUGUGUGAUUUUGGGAUUAUGUGAUGACAUGAGGUCAUUAACCCUAAUGACCUUUGGCAUUUAAUAUUGUUUUGCCUUAAUGCUUAAUUUUUGUCAUUAAUUUUUAAUUAAGAAUUAAUUAAGGUAAAAAGGAUUAAUAAUUAGUUAAUUAAGGAUAAUUAGAAAUUAAGAGGAAUCUUAAUUUACAGAUGCAACCUCUUGGGUAAAAACACUAAAAUGUUAAACAACUUUAUUUAUUGUUUAGUCUAUGUUGCACCGAGAAGGCAAGUUGUACUCGACUUGGUCCUUCUUGCAUAUUUGUCAUACACAUAUCAUGAGCAUUUAUCAUUUUGCGUAUAGUGCACGUGACCGAAGGAGCGACCGUUGAGCCGAACCCCGAGGUCGGUGCUCCGUUCGAGGAAGUAGGAUCCGAGACUUGGGAAGUCUCCGAGGGUCCCUCUCUACCCUGCAACCAAGGCAAGCCCCGGAUGCAUUAACCCCUCCUUGAAUAUUUUAAAUCUUUUAUCACUUAUGAAUUGAAAAUGCUGCAUUAGGUAGUUGAGAAUUGGGUUAACCUACUUGCUGCAUUUACUGCCUUGAUAUCUGUUAUGCUGUCCUUGACACCUGUUUUAUUUUAAAAUUGCGUAGUGAUGCUUAGCCCUGCUACUAGAUAGGUUUUCAAACAAGAAAGUUUGAAGGGUUGUUGUGGAAUACUAUUAUGGUCAAUGAUGUUUCAAGUUGAGACCGGUCGGUGGACUUGCUUUAAGAAUGGAGUCUUAAAGUAGUGUCUCCAACUGUGUCGGUUAAGGACCGGUCCGUUGAUGGCCCGCUGGGUUGAGAAUUUAUAGUACUAGCCACUUGCCCUCGGUAAGCCCAGUCUUGUGAUCCCUCGAUGCGAACAGCUACUCGCGCACUGGGCGUGGAAAGUUUGAUGAUGAUCUGGGUUAGUUAUAAAUGAUAAUCUUGAGUUAAAACUUGAAAGUAGGUUUUACUCUUAGUAAGCUUUUAUGCAAAAGAAAUGCUUUGAUCUUGCUAAAGCUUUGCCUUGAAUCCCUAUAGCCUGCAUGCCUGAGUCUUCACCUCUUUAUAGUCGGUUAAGUCUUGUUGAGUACUUUUGUACUCAGGGUUUAUUAACCCAUGUUGCAGGUGAGCCUUUCGAUAAUCCCUUUGAUGGUCAUGGUUACUUUACUCUUGUGGAGGAGAGUGAUGAUGAUGAACCUGAUGUGUGACCUUGGGCAAGUAAAAACUUGUUGUGUGAUCUAUGGUUUAUGUAAUAUAAAGUUCCGAAGCUUUUAUGUAUCAAAUACUUAUGGUUUGUAAACUAUGAACUUAAGUUUCAAUCUAUGUUAUGUAACCUUUCCGCUUUUACUCUGAUUUCUCUUAUCUAUGAAAUGUUGUAAUACUGUGAUGCUUGAUGAGGGAAUUCCUGAAAAGAAUGUAAUGUGGAUGAUUCGGGUUUCCGAGGACACCCGACAGACUUCUUGAGUCAUUUGGAACUCGUGCACGUCGAUCAGAAGUCUUUAGGACAAUGAUGUGUGCAUGUGGGCCACUUAAUUCAGAUGGCGAGAGUAGUGUGUACCCACCUUACGGAUCUGAGAUGACCGGGAAACAUCUAGGUCGGCUGUAGGAUGGUGGAGUACUAUGCUCUUCGGUGCCGCGAACCUGGUCAAAUUUGGGGAGAGCCGGAUUUGGGUUGACAUAUGCAAGAUUUGGUUCUACAUAUGUCGGGUGGUUAGGAACUCCAGCUGGAUUGCUAAGCGGUUCGAAUCGUCGUUGCUCCCCGAUUGGGAGACUCAAUCCACUGACCCUCAUCGUAGCUAAAUAUGCAACUAAGUGAUAAAAUGAGAAAAGGGAAAAUGUCUCAUGAGGUUCGGAUCCCAAUUCCCGGACUCAGAGUGACAUGAAGCUAUGGCCGUUGGAUAGAUAAUACUUUGGAUAAGGACUAGGAGCUCACAGACUUGUCUGUGAGAGGCAACUAGGUAGACUGUCCUCGAACUCCUCGACCUCUUAAGGAGAGGAAUUCGCGGGUAAAACUUGAAAGUAAGGAUGCACUAUUAGUAAGCUUUUUAGCAAAACACUUUGGCUCCUUGCUCAGCCACUCCUUGUUUACCCUAAGCCUGCAUUCCUACUUUCUCCUCUUUUUCCACCGGGUAAGUCUUGUUGAGUACUCCCGUACUCAGGGUUUUACAACCCCUAUUGCAGGUGAAGCUCAAGAGCCGACCUGUUUUGGUCCCUGUUGUGUGACCGCCGUCGAGGUUGACGACGAGGAAGAGUGAGCGUGACCCAUGGGCAGGGUCUGUAAAUUUGUACUCUAUGUUCUAAAGUUUAAGUUGCUUCGCUGGUCCAGGCUUGUAAUAACACUCUACUAUUUGGACGAACUCCUUUUGUAAAUUAAGUUAGGUAAUACUUCCGCUGUUUUACUCUGAAACAUUACUUUGGUUUUAUGUCGUCUGUGAUACUGCAAUGUCUUCGCAACGAGUGGUCCUGGUGUUAAGGUGGCCAGUUGCUAUCCUGUAAGGGCGAGAAGAAGAAAUUCUCGUUAAUUGACCAUCACCAGUGGUCAGGACGAGCUUGCUUGAUACGCCACAGGUAGCGGUGGAAUGAGCGUCUAGCGAUGCUCAUCGGACUUCUAAAGUGGGAGGAUCCCCGACAUCAUUGUCAGAGGUCCUUGGGACAAUGACGGGUGUCGGUGGGCCCAAACACUUAGGAGGUUCCGCCACAGCUGGUAUCAGAGCAUUCGUUGCUAAGAUGGUUGCUGUAUCCUUUGAAAAACUUCAAAACUCAUUUGGAUCCAAUACUAUAAACUUGCCUACUUUGAGUCCAAGUGCUGUAGUCCUAACUUACCCCUAUCUGUAGGCUUCCUUAGAAUUUUUGAAGUGGUAUGGAGGAGCAACAUAAAGUCUUGCCCUAUGUUGUAAAGGUUUUUAAGUAAUAUUGUUACGAUUUGCUAGUAGGAAUCGUAAGUUCAUGCAUGCAUCAUGAUAUAUUACUUGGUUAAAAUUUCCUUCCUCCUUGUUUGGGUUGGGUUGUAUAGAAUCAAUCCCAUUCUUGCUAACCUUUAAGGUCUCCUUUACUAAUCUAAACUUACCCUCUACAGGAUGCCUCGUUGGAAGCAGACCCCGCGCAAGAAGACAGGUCCAAAAGGGGUCCCUAGACAUCAGUUGGCCCCGCGAAGCGAACAAGCAAGCAGUAGCCGUUCACCGCCUCAGCAGGAGGAGGGCAAGUUGUCCGCCGAGCUGACCGAAGUGAUGAGAGAAAGGAUGUACAACGUCAUGGAGAUCGGCGAACUUAAAGCUCAACUAACCAAAGAAAAACAAGCCACAGAGAACUGUGAGGCCAUGCUGUCCCGUAUGGUGGAGGAGAGGAAUGCUGCUAUUGCCCAAGAAGAGGAAUCCAGGAGUGCACACAGGCACGAGCUGACUAGGAUGAAGGCAAAGCUGGACAAGACCAAGUACCUUAAAGAUCUGUAUGUGAAGAUGGCGGCCACUGUCACCGCGCAGAGGGAUGUCGCGUGGCAGCGGGAGGACCAGCUCCAGUUGGAGAGGCUGGAGCUGGCACACCAUUUAGACACCGUCAACGAUCUGGUAAUGCAAUACCGUGAUAUUGCAUUUGAUCUAUAUCAUCAGCUCCACCCACCUCCAGGCGAAGGAGAGAUGGACACGGAUGGAGAGUUGGCGGACGAUGGGGAACCUGACCAAGACCUCAGUGGCGGGGAGGAAUCUGACUCCGGUAAUGACAACCCGGGGGGUGAUCAUGAUGAUGGCAAUGACGACCCAGGUUACAGCUCUGGCCACACCGACUAGUUCGGUGAAGCCGCGAACAGCAUCGUUGUAGGAUUCCUAGUUGACCGUAGUGGGGUCGGGUUUGUAAUCUAGAGCUUCCUUUCAGUUUAAGAAGUAGUACUCGUUUGUUUCCAGUAUGUUGAACUGAUGUGUAAUAAAUAAAUGGAAGUAUGUAAGAUAUGUUCUAAGUUAUGAAUUUCGUGUGGUAACAAGUAAAUAUAACUCUUGUAGCAGAUGCCGAUGCGUACGCGAGGAUAUGAUGGAGCCGGGACAUCUCAGGGAGGGGAUGAUAUCCCCAACCCUCCACCUACCCCACCUUCUUUGGCUGAUGCCAUUGCUGUUCUCUUGAGUGCCACUACCGACAACGCUCGCUUGUUGCGCGAGCUUGCACAACGUCAACCACACCCCACCCCAAACUUCAGGGCACUGCACAAUGGGGACGGAGAAGCUCGGUACGUGGACUUUACCGAGACAAGACCCCCGGUAUUCACCAAGGCUGAUGAGCCUCUAGAAGCUGAUGAUUGGCUCCGAACCAUGGAGCACAAGUUCAGUUUGAUUCAGUGUUCAGAAACUCAGAAGCCCCUGUUCGCAGCUCAGCAGCUUCGAGGAGCUGCGGGUGCCUGGUGGGAGAAUUUUCUAGCCAUCCAAGCUCCAGGGCACCAGGUCACCUGGACAGAGUUUAAGGACGCGUUCCGCGCCCAUUACAUCCCUGAAGGGCUCAUGGCCAUGAAGGCCAAAGAGUUUCUCGCCUUGCAGCAAGGCGAUAAAAAUGUCAUGGAAUACGUGGCAAAAUUUAAUCACCUCUCUCAGUACGCCACGGACCAUGUGAACACGGACAGAAAGAAGAAAGCUUGUUUCAUGCGUGGUCUAAAUACUAAACUUCAGACCAUGAUGACCACCUGUCAAAAUGUUACCUUCUAUGAGGCGGUAAAUAUUGCCAUCGCCUCAGAAGAAAAGAAUAGAAAGCACAAAGAAGCCAAGAAGAAGGCUGCUUCUUCCUCCUUCUCUGGUCGCGGUCAAAAGCGCCAGAGAAUCAUUUAUCAUCCGCAGGGCUACGGAUGCUUUCCAGCGCCGUUACCUUAUCGUGGUCCUUUUUCCCCACCACAAUAUAGACCAGGGCAGCAGGUAUAGCCUCGACCUACUGCCAUCGCUACUACACCACGCCAGCCGAACGCCCCAGGUGUUCGCCCCACUGCUCCGCCCAACCACAAUUACCCAUGUUUCAAUUGUGGUAAGCCUGGGCAUUUUUCCAAGGAGUGCCCCUACCCCCGCCAAACCAACCCCACCUUCCAAAGGCCACCUAUGGGCCAACCCCAGCAGAGCCAAUUCAGGACUGGGGUUCAGAAAGGACAAAAUAUGCAAAAGGGAAAACCAGCGAAGAAAGUGGGACAAGUUUUCCAUAGGAGGUGGAGACAAUCCCGGAGGGUGAAACAGUAAUGAUGGGUACGUUUCCUGUCGCGAAACAUCCUGCUUUAAUGCUUUUCGAUUCUGGUGCAUCUCAUACAUUCAUCAAUCGCACCUUUGUGUUAAAGCAUGGCAUACCCAUUGGGGAAACACAAGAUCACUUUUAUAUUCAGUCGCCAGGAGGACGGCUGAGUUCUAAAGAGAUGGUUCACCAGAUACCUAUUGAAUUUGGUGGGCAUAGUUUUCCCACUAGCAUGAUUGUUCUUAAAGACCAGGAGAUUGAUGUUAUACUAGGCAUGAACUGGAUGGCACAACGAGGGGUUGUGCUAGACACUUUGCAUCGAACCAUUAAAAUACCAUUGCCCAAUGAGAAUUCUUAUCUGCUAAUUCAAUUAGUUACUCCUAAGCGGGCAAUUGGGCAAGUUCAUGCCACUAAUGUGUCUGCAGUUCAAGAUAUCCCGGUAGUUCGGGAUUUUCCAGAUGUAUUCCCUGAAGACCUACCAGGUCUACCACCGGACUGGGAUGUCCAGUUCAGUAUAGAAUUGAAACCGGGGACAGCCCCAAUAUCUCGAAGGGCCUACAGAAUGGCACCGAAAGAGCUGGCCGAAUUAAAAACCCAACUACAAGAGCUGUUGCAGAAAGGUUUUAUUCAGCCCAGUUCUUCUCCAUCGGGUUGCCCAGCCUUGUUUGUGAAAAAGAAAGAUCAAACAUUAAGGCUGUGUGUCGAUUAUCGUCUCCUGAAUGAGGUGACGAUUAAGAACAAGUACCCAUUGCCCCGUAUUGACUUACUGUUUGACCAGUUAGCCGGGGCCAAAGUGUUCUCAAAAAUUGAUUUGAGAUCAGGGUACCACCAAAUUAAAAUUAGGCCGGAAGAUAUACCUAAAACAGCUUUUACAACCCGUUACGGGCUGUAUGAAUACUUGGUAAUGUCUUUUGGGUUGACCAAUGCACCGGCCCAUUUCAUGUACUUGAUGAACUCUGUCUUCAUGCCAGAACUAGACAAAUUUGUGGUCGUCUUUAUUGAUGACAUCUUGAUCUAUUCCAAGACUAAGAAAGAACAUGCUGAACAUCUGAGAAUUGUACUGACCCGCCUCAGGGAGCAUCAGUUAUAUGCCAAGUUCAGCAAAUGUGAAUUCUGGCUGGACAAAGUUCAUUUCCUGGGUCAUGUGUUAUCAGCGGAGGGAGUCGCUAUAGACCCAGGUAAAGUAGAAGAUGUGUUGAAUUGGAAGCCUCCAACUACGGUACAUGAGGUCCGUAGUUUUCUGGGUAUGGCGGGAUAUUACCGUCGUUUUAUCCCGGACUUUUCAAGAGUCGCCAAACCAAUCACAACCUUGCUCAAGAAUCAAACAAAAUUUGUUUGGUCACCCCAAUGUGAGCAAGCCUUCCAGACUCUAAAAAGAUUAUUGAAAACUGCACCUGUCUUAGCCCAGCCAGAUAUUGAAAAGCCCUUUGAUGUGUAUUGUGACGCAUCAGAGAUAGGGAUAGGCUGUGUGCUAAUGCAGGAGGGUCGCGUAAUUGCAUAUGCUUCCAGACAGCUUAAACCACAUGAAGAGAAUUACCCGACCCAUGAUCUUGAACUAGCCGCCGUAGUACAUGCAUUAAAGAUCUGGCGCCAUUAUCUGUUGGGAAAUACUUGCCAUCUAUACACGGAUCACAAAAGCUUGAAGUACAUCUUUACUCAAGCUGAACUUAACAUGCGCCAGCGAAGGUGGCUAGAAUUAAUCAAAGAUUACGACCUUGAGGUGCAUUAUCAUCCUGGCAAGGCGAAUGUAGUAGCUGAUGCCCUCAGUCGUAAGGCUCACUGUAAUUGCUUAACAGUGACGCCUAGAGAUAUAACUUUGUGCCAAGAGCUAGAGAACUUGGGGAUAGAAAUGAUUUCCCAAGGAAGCCUUGCCAAUCUAACGGUUGAUUUCAAUCUCGAAGCUCAAAUUAUAGAGGCACAAAGGGAAGACAAGGGUAUGAAAUAUCUUAAAGAGAAAAUUUCUAAUAGAGCACCCACAGACUUUAAGGUGGAUGAUGCAGGAGUAAUCUGGUUCAAGAACCGAUUAGUGGUUCCAAAGGUACCUGAGCUACGUCAGCAAAUCCUAGAUGAAGCUCAUACCACGAGGUAUUCUAUUCAUCCGGGAAGCAAUAAGAUGUAUCAGGACCUAAAGCAAAGGUUUUGGUGGACAAAAAUGAAGAUAGAAAUAGCCCGCUAUGUGGCCCAAUGCGACACCUGUCGAAAGGUCAAAGCUAUUCAUCUCAAAACCGCUAGAGAGUUGCAACCUUUGCCUAUUCCAGCAUGGAAAUGGGAUGACAUAAGUAUGGAUUUCAUAGUAGGAUUGCCAAAGACAGCUAAAGGCUUUGAUUCCAUUUGGGUCAUAGUGGAUCGUCUCACCAAAACAGCACACUUCUUACCUGUAAAGACAUCGUAUCAUACUUCCACCUAUGCUCAGAUCUAUUUUGAUCGUAUACUAAGUCUGCAUGGGGUGCCAAAGACAAUAGUGUCAGAUAGAGGCACACAAUUUGUCUCCCAGUUCUAGAAAUGCUUACAUAAAUCCUUGGGCACCAAACUUUUAUACAGCACAGCCUACCACCCUCAAACAGGUGGGCAAACUGAAAGGGUGAAUCAAACCCUAGAAGAUCUAUUAAGAUCUUGUGCCCUGAAUUUUCCAGAUAAGUGGGAUGACUGCUUGCCUCUAGCAGAAUUUUCUUACAACAAUAGCUACCAAGAGAGUAUCAAGAUGGCUCCCUUUGAGGCACUAUAUGGCCGUCGAUGUCGAACUCCAUUACACUGGUCGGAGCUCGGAGAAAGAUGGUUCUUCGGGGUUGACUUAGUGAAAGAGACUGAGAACAGAGUUAGACAAAUCCAAAAUAACAUAAGAGUUGCUCAGUCCCGACAGAAAAGCUAUGCCGAUAAAAGACGUCGACCAUUAAGGUUCGCCAAAGGUGAUCAUGUAUAUUUGAAAGUGUCCCCAAUGAAAGGAGUAAAUCGUUUUGGUGUUAAAGGCAAGUUAGUGCCCCGUUACAUUGGUCCAUUUCCAAUCAUUGACCGAUGUGGACAGGUAGCUCACCGCCUUAAACUGCCCGAACGAUUAUCCGGGAUACACAAUGUAUUUCAUGUGUCUCAAUUGAAAAAGUGUCUUCGAGUACCGGACCAAAUCCAAGAUAUUGAAGAUGUGGAACUUGAACCGGAUUUAACUUAUUCGGAGUAUCCUAUCCGAGUAUUGGACCAAAGAGAUAGAGUUACUCGAAGAACAACUACCAAGUGGUAUAAGAUACAGUGGAGCCAACACUCUGAAGAGGAAGCCACCUGGGAAUCUGAAGAUUAUCUGCUGGAGAAUUUUCCUGAGUUUCACGCUUCUCUUCAAGACAACAUCUGAUAAAUAGGGAGUGUACUCUAGUGAAGGAAAAGAGUAACCAAAGCCAUGUACUUUGUGUACAUAUAUGUUUAUAUUUGAGUAAUCUUCCCCAACCUCUUGCUUUAUGAGAAAGUUGAAGAUGAAAGAAUUUUGACAAAUUUCCUUUUCCAUUACUUACCCUAAGGCUUUAAAUCUCGGGGACGAGAUUUCUUUAAGGGGGAAGGGCUGUAACAUCCCUGAUGUUACGGUUACUAAAAUUCGGAUCAUGGCAUCAUCAGCAUUGCACAACAUAGUUGUUAAGCACACCUUGAUGCAUCAACUUAAAAUGAGUUUAAUUUGGUUGAAUGUGCUUAGGGAAUUAAAGUGUGUUUAUCUUGUUUAUUGAUGCUUGAGUUGGUUGCUAAAACCCUAGGGUGAAAGGUUUCCGAAAGGCUUAGGGGGGAAAACCCUAAUUUUUGAACCCUAGAAUUGCCCCCUUUUGCACAAUUCAAAAACUAAGCAAAAAUUUGAGGUUGAGUUCAAAAGCAAAGUUGUAGAUCUUGUCAAGAUGUACAACUUUGGUGUUUUGAGUGUUUGAAGUUUCAAUAUAAAAUUCAAAGUAUUUUUAAAAAUACAGAUUUCCAGAAAGUGUCCCCUUUUCUAAUUUGAAUCUCCAAUUCAAAAUCUGUUUGGAAUUUUGAAAAGUGACUAACAUAAAAGUUGUAGAGCUCAAAAAGUUGAACAACUUUAAUGUUGGGAGUUUUUCAAGUUGUUUAGGAAAAACAAAAGUAAUUUUGGAAACUCUGAUCUGCCCCAAUUAAAAAAUUUGGAUUUCCCCAAAUUGGAUUUUGAAUUUCAAACUGUUUGGUCAAAAAUCACCAUGUUCCACUCAAAAUUGGCUUUGGUCACCAAAACAUGUUUUGUAGCUCACAAAAUUUUGCACAACUUUUGUUUUGGUGGCACUUUGACUUUAGUUCAAAUUUUGGCCAAAUUUUACAAAAGGCAGAGAAGGGGGGGAUAAGGGUCGGCUACAGUGAUCCGAUAUGGAUAACGGCGCCCCUGUCCAGCGCGGCCGCCGCGCGCGCAGCACCGCGUAUGCACGUGCAGGCACGCAGCUGCUUGCUUGCCUGCAUCGCCAGGCAACGUGGACGCCCCGGGCUCGCUUCCUCCUCCCUUUGAGCACCAGCGUGGACGACGCCGCUCGAUUUCGUUGUCCACGGCCGAAGAAACCCGACGCCUCCCUCUCUCAAAUUCACCGUACUCGGUCCCCCUCGAGCCAAAUUAAGCAGUCCACUACAUUCGCCACCUCCUUGCGAAUCCAGUGCACCCUCGAGCUCACUCCCUAACCCCCUCAAACGCCAGAGCUUCUCCCUCUUCUCCAUCUCCGGCCGGCAUCGCCGCCGUGGAACCCUUCACGUGGACACGCUGCUCCAGUCGGUACCACGCCUUGCCAGCGGUCGUUUCAAGCUCUUCUCGUUUCCACGAUGCUCAUGCGCUCGCUCUUUCUCCCUGGACGUGAACAGGACCACCGGAACGACCUCGCCGGAGCCGGAGCACCCGCCCGACCGCACGGCCACCGUCGCCAAGCCCUUCUACUGCUUCUCCCGCCGUGGUGAUGUGAGCACCAUGAUCCCCACUUCUUCCUGAACGUCCCGGACCUGCUGGUUCACGCUCUACCGAGCCCUCGUGCCCGGUCUUCGGGCGACCGAUGCGGUCGUCCGCCAUUUGUGCGGGUGAGGUAGAAAGAGAGCGGUAGAGCGUCCGCGAGUAGUAGCUAUGGAGUCGCAAGGUUGACGCGGAGCUGAUGCGCACCCUGGCGCGGGCUCAACCCUCGCCAGCGGUGGCCGGGGCCAUGGCAGUGCCGCCGCGCGUGAGGAAGGAGGCGCUGACGGGUGGGGCAUCCCCGUCAGUGACCCGCAGAAGGAGGAAGGGGGGGUCUGACGAGCGGGACCCGCCCGUCAGUGACCCACAGAGAGAGGAGGGGGCGCGCGCGCAGCGCCCGCAUGGGCCGGCCUGCGGGCCUUUUGGCUGGGCCUCGCCCAGUUCCAGUUUGUUUUUCUUUUUUUUCCUUUUGUUUAAAAAUGCUUAAUGUUUGAAUUUGAAUAGAAAAUCUUGUGCUGAUUCAAAAAUCAUGAAAAUUUUUGUAUGGGUUCCAUAAAAUGAGUAGAACACAAGAAAAAUAAUAGGUUCUCUUUUCUGAUGGUUUACAUGUGUAUAAAAAUUGCCUCUUUUAUUUAAUGAAUAAAACUUCUCUGAAUUUUAAUAAUUUAUUUGCAUAUCCAAAAAUCACCAAAAUUUGUGGGGAGUCUCUGAAUAUUAUUCCCUGGCUCCACAAAAUUUGAUGGCAUUUGGAUAAUGUUUGAAUAAAAUAUUAAUAAACCCUUACUUAGUAAUUAAAUAAUAUUUCUAGAAUAAUUAGAUAAUAAUUAGUUAAAUCCUCAUGAUUAGAGUCGAGUGAUUUUUGGAUUAUGUGAUGACCUGAGGUCAUUAACCCUAAUGACCUUUGGCAUUUAAUAUUGUUUUGCCUUAAUGCUUAAUUUUUGUCAUUAAUAUUUAAUUAAGAAUUAAUUAAGGUAAAAAGGAUUAAUAAUUAGUUAAUUAAGGAUAAUUAGAAAUUAAGAGGAAUCUUAAUUUACAGAUGCAACCUCUUGGGUAAAAACACUAAAAUGUUAAACAACUUUAUUUAUUGUUUAGUCUAUGUUGCACCGAGAAGGCAAGUUGUACUCGACUUGGUCCUUCUUGCAUAUGUGUCAUACACAUAUCAUGAGCAUUCAUCAUUUUGCGUAUAGUGCACGUGACCGAAGGAGCGACCGUUGAGCCGAACCCCGAGGUCGGUGCUCCGUUCGAGGAAGUAGGAUCCGAGACUUGGGAAGUCUCCGAGGGUCCCUCUCUACCCUGCAACCAAGGCAAGCCCCGGAUGCAUUAACCCCUCCUUGAAUAUUUUAAAUCUUUUAUCACUUAUGAAUUGAAAAUGCUGCAUUAGGUAGUUGAGAAUUGGGUUAACCUACUUGCUGCAUUUACUGCCUUGAUAUCUGUUAUCCUAUCCUUGAUACCUAUUUUAUUUUAAAAUUGCGUAGCGAUGCUUAGCCCUGCUACUAGAUAGGUUUUCAAACAAGAAAGUUUGAAGGGUUGUUGUGGAAUACUAUUAUGGUCAAUGAUGUUUCAACUUGAGACCGGUCGGUGGACUUGCUUUAAGAAUGGAGUCUUAAAGUAGUGUCUCCAACUGUGUCGGUUAAGGACCGGUCCGUUGAUGGCCCGCUGGGUUGAGAUUUAAAGUAGUGUGUACCCACCUUACGGAUCUGAGAUGACCGGGAAACAUCUAGGUCGGCUGUAGGAUGGUGGAGUACUAUGCUCUCGGGUGCCGCGAACCUUGUCAAAUUUGGGGAGAGCCGGAUUUGGGUUGACAUAUGCAAGAUUUGGUUCUACAUAUGUCGGGUGGUUAGGAACUCCAGCUGGAUUGCUAAGCGGUUCGAAUCGUCGUUGCUCCCCGAUUGGGAGACUCAAUCCACUGACCCUCAUCGUAGCUAAAUAUGCAACUAAGUGAUAAAAUAAGAAAAGGGAAAAUGUCUCAUGAGGUUCGGAUCCCAAUUCCCGGACUUAGAGUGACAUGAAGCUAUGGCUGUUGGAUAGAUAAUACUUUGGAUAAGGACUAGGAGCUCACAGACUUGUCUGUGAGAGGCAACUAGGUAGACUGUCCUCGAACUCCUCGACCUCUUAAGCAGAGGAAUUCGCGGGUAAAAGUUGAAAGUAAGGAUGCACUAUUAGUAAGCUUUUUAGCAAAACACUUUGGCUCCUUGCUCAGCCACUCCUUGUUUACCCUAAGCCUGCAUUCCUACUUUCUCCUCUUUUUCCACCGGGUAAGUCUUGUUGAGUACUCCCGUACUCAGGGUUUUACAACCCCUGUUGCAGGUGAAGCUCAGGAGCCGACCUGUUUCGGUCCCUGUUGUGUGACCGUCGUCGAGGUUGACAACGAGGAAGAGUGAGCGUGACCCAUGGGCAGGGUCUGUAAAUUUGUACUCUGUGUUCUAAAGUUUAAGUUGCUCCGCUGGACCAGGCUUGUAAUAACACUCUACAAUUUGGACGAACUCCUUUUGUAAAUUAAGUUAGGUAAUACUUCCGCUGUUUUACUCUGAAACAUUACUUUGGUUUUAUGUCGUCUGUGAUACUGCAAUGUCUUCGCAACGAGUGGUCCUGGUGUUAAGGUGGCCACUUGCUAUCCUGUAAGGGCCAGAAGAAGAAAUUCUCGUUAAUUGAGCAUCACCAGUGGUCAGGACGAGCUUGCUUGAUACGCCAUAGGUAGCGGUGGAAUGAGCGUCUAGCGAUGCUCAUCGGACUUCUAAAGUGGGAGGAUCCCCGACAUCACUGUCACAGGUCCUUGGGACAAUGACGGGUGUCGUUGGGCCCAAACACUUAGGAGGUUCCGCCACAGCAACAUAACAUAGUAGCUCAUAAUAUUCAGUUUCAAAAGUAUACAUGUCUAUAUAUAUAGAAGGUGACACACAUUAUAUAAUUUAAGUUUAUUAGUCGUUUGAUGGAAAAAUGAGUGUUGACGGGUUUGUAGUGGAAAUGAUAAAAUAUGGUGGUGGCGGAAGGGGGAAGCUAGUACUUGCCUUUGUUGUACUCUCCUUCCGAUUCAACGUAGUCUGGGUCCUCGCCUUCCUGGUAUUCACUCUCCUCUGCUUCCCAAUCUGGCCGGAGUUGCGCUUCAGGGGAUGAACUGAGGCUCGGACUCCACAGCGGCGGCGGCGACACCCAGUUUUGGGCAAAAUGUGACGGUGCUGGAAAUGAGAUGGGAAUAGGGGAGGUGUGGGGAAGACGGCGUGUUCCAACUCAAUGCGAAGCUCGUAGUGAUGGUCGUGACGGCGGAGACUCACCGGUAGAGCCCUUUUAUAGGCCGGCGAGGUCGGUGGCGGCGGCAAGAUCUUUUCAGCUUGCCGGCCGAUAUUUUCUUCCUCGCGCACAUGGUCGAGCUCGAGGUUCUAGGUGCCGGGCUAGACUCUUCCCUGUCCUCUCGCCUCCGGCGAGGUCGGUGCUAGGUGAGGUCUCGUCAAUGGCGUCGGUGGGGUUUGCGUGCCAGCCUCUCUGAUGGUGUUGACGUGCUGUGAAGCACAGGGAAGAAGGAGAGGGGAUGAUGGAAUGGUUCGAGGCUGGUCAGCUGGUUCCUGUGUGCUGGUCCUCCUUGACAUUGGGACAGGGCCACGACAGGGCCGGUGAAUCGAGCGUGGAUGCGGAUUCACGCUGAAGAGGAUGAAGCUGACCACAGGGUCCCACUCGUCAGUGAGAAGUGAGGGAAAGGGGGAGAGCUGCCGCUGCGCCUUGCUGGGCCAGAAGGGAAUAGGAAAAAAAAGGCUUGAGUUCAUUUUUCUCAUUUAUAAGAAGGCCUUUUCCCUUUCCCUUUCUCCGAAAAACCACUAGAGAGAAAUUUUACUUUAAAUUCAAAAAAUAAUUUUCAAGGGAUAAUAUGUACCACCAUAGGUUCAUUGAGCAGAACACAACACAUGAUUUGUUCAACUUGGUGAAUUCUAUUCGUGUCAAAAAAAAUGCUACGCGGUUAAUUAUUUUUAUAGAGAAAAUUUAAAAGUUCAAAUUUUUAGUGACUUUUGAAACAUGGAAAAUUUUUAGGGUGUUACAGACCUACCCCCUUGAAAUGGAUCUCGUCCUCGAGAUUCGAACUAACCCUCAAAUAAGUAUGGAAAUUCUUUUUUAAGAUCGUCCUCUCUUUCCCAUGUAGCUUCUGCUUCAGUGUGGUUGCUCCACUGUACCCGACAAAAUCUUACUGUCGUCCUUCUUGUUUGUCGUGUGGCGAUAUCCAAAAUUUUGAUCGGCCUCUCUUGGUAUUGUAAGUCAGGCUGUAAAUCUAUUGCUUCUAUUGGUGCUUGCUCUUCUGGCACCCUUAAACAUCGUUUUAAUUGUGAUACGUGGAAUACAUUAUGUAUAUCUGACAUCUCUGGAGGCAAUUCUACGCGAUAAGCUACCGCUCCAAUCUUUUCUAUGAUCUUGUAUGGUCCAAUAUAUCGUGGUGCUAACUUUCCUCUCACUUGAAACCUUCGCGUUCCUCUAAUCGGGGAUACCUUUAAGUAGGCAAAAUUUUCUGGUUGAAAUUCCAACGGUCUUCUUCGUGUGUCUGCAUAGCUUUUCUGUCUGCUCUGUGCAGCCUUUAAAUUUUCUCGGACUUUGGCUACCUGUUCUUCAGCGCCUCUGAUCAUAUCGGGACCGAACAAGGUCCGCUCUCAAACCUCAGACCACAUCAGGGGGUUCGACACUUCCGUCCGUAUAACGCUUCAAAUGGAGCCAUUUUUAGACUUGCUUGGUAACUAUUAUUGUAAGAAAAAUCCGCGAAAGAUAGGCUCUUUUCCCAGUCUUUACCGUAGGUGAGUACGCAGGCUCGUAACAUGUCUUCUAAUAUUUGAUUUACUCGCUUAGUCUGCCCAUCGGUUUGCGGGUGACAUGCUGAGCUGUAGUCCAGAUGGGUACCCAAAGCAGUAUGCAAGCUUUUCCAAAAACGUGCUGUGAAUUGAGUACCCCGAUCUGACACAAUCUUGCUUGGUACUCCAUGUAGUCGAAGAAUAUUAUCGAUAUAUAAUUGUGCCAAUUUAUCCCCCCGGUAUUUGGCCUUUACCGGAAUAAAGUGAGCUACUUUAGUUAAUCUAUCCACUAUCACCCAUAUUGAAUCGUUUCCUUUUUGUGUUUUAGGCAGACCCACUAUAAAGUCCAUACUAAUCUCGUCCCAUUUCCACACCGGAAUAUUUAAUGGUUGCAGUAAUCCAGCUGGCCGUUGGUGUUCUGCUUUUACUCGUUGACAUAUAUCGCAGCGUGCCACAUAGUCUGCGAUAUCAACCUUCAUUCCAGUCCACCAAUAUUUUCGUUUGAGGUCCAUAUACAUUUUCGUUGAGCCUGGAUGAAUGGAGUACGCUGACUGAUGAGCUUCAUCCAAAAUUAGCUUCCUGAGCUUCUCAUCUUGAGGUACGCAUAUUCGAUUUUUAUACCAUAAUGUUCCCCGUUCAUCGACCUUAAAUCCUUCAAUUUCUUUUUCAGCACUUUUCUCAAAGGCGUUUUAUCUCGUCAUCCUGGGCUUGAAUUUCUUUUAUUUGGUUUUCUAAUGUUGGUUGUAGGUGUAUAGUAUUUACUGUGCCAUAUGGUACAAUUUGUAGGUUUAGUUGGCGAACUUCUUGUGCUAGUUCCAGUAUUUGAUUCAAGGUCGUGAGAUGAUGACAAUAAGAUUUCCGGCUCAAGGCGUCAGCAACUACGUUGGCCUUUCCCGGAUGAUAUUGUACGCUCAGGUCGUAAUCUUUAAUUAAUUCCAACCAUCUUCUCUGUCGUAAAUUUAAGUCUGGUUGGGUAAAAAUAUAUUUUAGACUUUUGUGAUCUGUAAAUAUUUCGCACUUAUUUCCAAUAAGAUAGUGUCUCCAUAUUUUUAGUGCAUGCACUACUGCUGCCAAUUCGAGAUCAUGUGUUGGAUAAUUUUCCUCAUGCUUCUUUAACUGUCUGGAGGCGUACGCGACAACUCGACCAUCCUGCAUUAGCACGCAUCCUAAACCUUGUCGGGAAGCGUCACAAUAUACUACAAAAUCUCUGUGAAUAUCUGGUAGCGUGAGUACAGGAGCUGUAGUUAACCUCUUCUUUAAUUCUUGAAAACUCCGCUCGCAAGCUUCCGUCCAUUUAAAUUCUUUUCCCUUUUGGGUUAAGGUUGUCAUAGGCCUAGCAAUUUUUGAGAAUCCCUCUAUAAACCUUCGGUAGUAACCGGCUAAUCCUAGAAAACUACGGAUUUCCGUCACAUUUGUGGGUUGCUUCCAUUCCGAUACUGCUUUUCUGGAUCUACUUUUACUCCAUCUACGGUAAUAAUAUGUCCCAAAAAUGCAACUUCCUGUAACCAAAACUCGCAUUUGCUAAAUUUGGCAUACAACUCAUGGGCUCUUAACUUGUUUAAUAUGACCCUCAGAUGUUGUUCAUGUUCGUCAGCACUCUUUGAGUAUAUAAGGAUGUCAUCAAUGAAUACUACUACAAACUUAUCUAGCUCUUCCAUGAAUACUUUAUUCAUUAAAUUCAUAAAGUAUGCAGGUGCAUUUGUUAAUCCAAACGGCAUCACAGUAAACUCAUAUUGUCCAUAGUGGGUUACAAAGGCCGUUUUUGGUAUGUCACUAAGUCGGAUUUUCAGCUGAUAAUAGCCUGACCUCAAAUCUAUUUUUGAAAAAUAUUUAGCACCUUUUACUUGAUCAAACAGAUCAUCGAUCCUAGGUAAUGGGUACUUAUUUUUAAUGGUGACCUCAUUUAGCGAUCGAUAAUCUAUGCACAUUCGAAGACUUCCAUCUUUCUUCUUUACAAACAGAACUGGUGAUCCCCAUGGCGAUGAGCUCGGUCGGAUAUAUCCUUUCUCCUGUAAUUCUCGUAAUUGUUUCUUUAAUUCCUCCAAUUCGUUGGCUACCAUUCGAUAUGGUCUCUUGGCUAUUGGAGCGGUUCCCGGCAUUAAAUCAAUAAUAAAUUCUAAAUCCCUAUCCGGUGGCAUUCCAGGCAGAUCUUCAGGGAAUACAUCGGGAUAUUCACAUACUACAGGCACUUCUUCCACAGUCUUAGCUUCUAUACUACAAACCAUCGGCUGAGAUUUUGGGGCUUGGGGGUAACAUUCUACUUUUAUCCCGUUGUGAUUUAUUAAAGUUACAGCCCUGUCUCUGCAAGCUAUAUUACCAUGGUGUUUUCUUAACCAAUCCAUUCCCAAUAUGACAUCUAGUCCCUCUGUUUUCAGUACUACUAAGUCCACUUGGAAUUCGAUUCCAUUAAUCAUUAUUUUUACUUGAGGACAUUUUAGAGAACAUUUGAGGAUAGCUCUAGGGGUGCGUAUCAAGAGAGGGGUGGGGAGUAACACCGUUCUUAAAUCAUUUUUAAGCACAAAACAAGUAGAGACAAACGAGUGCGAGGCUCGAGAAUCAAACAACACGCUUGCAGAAGCAGAGUUCAUGAGAAACUCACCGUACACUACAUCAGGUGCUGCCUGCACUUCUUCCGCACUUACGUGGUUGACUCGGCCUUGCCCGAACGUUUGGGUGUUCUUCCUCUGCUGUCCAGAGUUCUGAGGUCCAGUGCGUCCAACUCCUGAGGCUGCAGUUCGGUUACUUGCCGUGGAAGGUGCUGGAGCAGGGGCGGCUGCUUGAUUGGUGUAUGGGCAUUGUGCUACCCUAUGUCCGGGUUUUCGGCAUCUGAAGCAUACUUGGUCCGAGGAUGAGGUUGUAUUAUUGUUUCUGGGCUGAUUUCCGUUGUUGUAACUUCGGUAGGUGGAAGCUGUUUGCUGGGGGUUGGAUCCCGGGGAUCUGUACUGCAUGGUGGGUUGGUACCUUGUAGGUGGAACAUUGUUGGUCCUAAUCCUUUGCGUUCUUUCUUGCUGUCGAGCACGUUGCAGAUUGAAUUUGCGCUUCCUUUCCCCUUCACUUUUAGCACGUUCCUCUUCCAGCAGAAUGGCACGGUUCAUCAAGGUAUUGAAGUCAGGGUAGAUGUGAGUAAUUAGCUGUGUCCUCAGAGUGGAGUUAAGUCCUCUUCUGAAGCAUCUUUGUUUCUUUUUAUCAGUGUCGACGUCUUCCGGCGCAUAUCGAGAUAGCUUCAUGAACUUCCAGAUGUACUGAUUUGCGGUCAUUGCACCUUGCCUUAAGUAGCGAAAUUCUUCGGCUUUCAUUUCCAUCACACCUUCGGGAAUGUGGUAGUUGCGAAAUUCUUCUACAAACUCCUCCCAAGUGAUGGCUUCUGGGUCAUCAACGACAUCUUGGUAAUUUUCCCACCAUUCCCCUGCGGCUCCAACUAGCUGGUGCGUGGCUAAAGUGACUCUUUCCUCGUCGGUAGCUCGUACAGAGUUUAAUUUCUUGGUGAUAGUUCGCAGCUAGUCAUCUGGUACCAACGGAUCAUCUUCCGAACUAUCAAAAGUGGGUGGGUGAAGCCUCAUAAAUGCUGCCAUUUUUCCUUGCCCGUUUCCAUUUUCCUGUCUUCUUGCAAGGUUCUCUAAUAAUCGUGUUUGCCGAUCCAUUACUUCAGCUAAUGUCGGCGGAGGUGGUGGAGGUUCUUCUCCUUCGACUGGAUUAUUUGCAUCAUUCUGUUCAACUUCUUCAUCUUCUUCAUGUACUUCUUCUAUUAUUGGGAUAUUAUUCCCUUGUGAUUGCUCAUGCCCAUGCCUCUGGUUAUGCCGCCCAUGGUUUGGUUGUCUUCCACGAUUUUGUCGGCCCCUAGGUGGUGGUGCAACAUGUUCCUCUUCUUCCGGCUCCUGCCUUUCAGCUAGCCGUUCGCGGCGUUGCUGGAUCCGGGCGGACCUUCUUUCCAUCUGUUGCUUUUAAAUAGCAAGGAUGAGAAGAUGUCCCGUUGGCGUCCAAGCAGAGGGAAAUAUUUGGGCAAAAAAAAGAACAGGCACACAUGAUUUUUAUUUAUUUAUUUACUAAUUUAUUUAUUUAAUAAUAGCAUACAAGAGCACACCCUCACACAAUACAUACAUGCGUGAUACAUGGUCAAACCCACACACAGGUCUAUUAGUACGAUUGUUAUGCGAUCACACUUGUCAAGCAUGUACAAGCACCUAUUUUACAGCUACACGCUACGACUCUUAUUAUUUAUAUAUAAAUAUAUAUUUUACAUAUAUUUUUACUAUUACUAUUAUUAUUUUACAUGAACUGGAUCUCGUGAAGGUCUCGAUCCACAGCCUUGCCCUUAUCCUGAGCUAGCUGAUCGUCCCGCAGCGCAUAGAGAUAGCUUGCAUAUCCGUCAUUAACAUCCUGCCCGGACAGGACUUGUAAAGGUCCCAUAUUCGUGGCAUCCAUAGCCUUCAAGUUGUUAAAAUUGUCGGCAAUAGAUUCCUGAGUAUCAAUGCUUUUAGCAGGGUCAGAAGGUGACUCUCUUUGAAUGUACUCAUUUGGAUCAAGCUCGGGUUGUUCUGGAUCAUAUUCUGGAUUAACUGGUGCCUUUCCCUUAGUGUCUAUAGCUCUCAUUACCUCGUGAAACUCUCGGUAAUCCAGGAAUUUCUAUUCUACGAUUAGUGGGAAUGGCAAAAGUCCUCUUUUUUGUCAUCUUCCUUGAAGGGUUCUUGUAGCGUGUACGUUCCAGAGUUUCUUUCAGCUCUCGCCGGUAGAACUCCAUUUUGUCUGUUAUGAUUGCCAUUUGCUUAUGUGCUUCUUCUAGUUCCAGUUGUAGAGCUCGUACCUCGGCUUCGGUAUCCCUGGUCUUGGUGACCCAUCUCAUUAAUUCCCGAUGCUGAUCUUCGUAGAGUGCGUCGAGAGCAUGCAAGUACUUGACGGUGAAUGGCAUAAUAGCGUCUGGCAUCUGUCGUCCAAUAUUUUCCAAAGCCUGAAGCUUUUCACACCAUGUCGGGGUAGUCUGAUUUGGCACAGGGAAAAAUCUUGCAUGGGGUGUGUUCGAUGUCUUCCUCAAAUAUUUGGCAAUAGUCCAUGAGAGCUUGUCUUGCUGCCAUCUGACAAGUGUCUUCCAAUUCUUUUCCAACAGCUGGGAUGCAUCGAGACUUAAUUUUUGGGCAUAAUGGAUGUUGCGGAACAUGUAGGUGUACCUCACAUUUAGGCAUACCAUCCUCCUGGUACUCACGACCAUGGUACAUGGGAGGCUCAGUAUAGCCAAGGCGCUGGAGUGUCUCCCAAAGGAGCUGUGGGAAACCUUCAACGGUCACACAGUUCGAACGAACCCAAUCGUCCUCCAUUUGCUGCAAAAUUUCCUACACUAGUUAGAAAACUUUUUGCAAUACAAAUGAGCAACAAUAAUCCCCUUUUACUAUGAUUACGACGACUACUACUACUACCACUGUCCUUAUUACUUAGCGUGAUCCGGUCCUAGGGUUUCAUCCUACGGUCAACCUGGCUCUGAUACCACUCUGUCGGGCCCUCAAUUUGAGAGUCCAAGUGUACACGUAUUUGUGCUAGGAUCGAGCACAAAUACGCAUGAGAUAACAGAAUUGGCACUCAGAUUUAAUAUAAAAUACCGAGCUUUAUUGAUAUAUUAAAAAAAUAUAUGGUCUUACAAUAGUCAUGGUUCAGAUGGUAUAGCCAUAGGCAUUACAUAGCUAGCGAGAUUUUGCUGUCGUAAAGCAACAAUUUAUUACAACAGGAUGGUAGAUACUACAGCGGAUUCUAUAGCAUAGCGAUAAUCUAAACCACAGGCAAGCUUGAGCGCGGCCGAAACCCUAUGCCCUAGAGACUCCUAGCAUAUCCGUAGACCUUCAUGUGGCUCCUAGUCCUCGUGGUCCGCCUCCUCGUCGACGUUGUAGUCCUCCUCGGGGUUGAUAUCUGUGAGUCAUCAACAGGUGAGUACAUACAGUACUCAGCAAGCCCUAACCUUGGGGUACGGUGGAGUGGAUGGUGGAGAUGGUAAAGGAAUGGUGGUAUAGUACAAUUAAAUAAUGAUUGGGCCUUGGGAGAGAAUUACUCUUCUCGCCAGUUUCCAAGUUAGUUUCACAAAUAUUGAAAUAAUUAUGUUAGCACAGUCCCAUUUCACAUAAAAGAUAACUAAUCAUAAGAGACCACAUCCUAGUGGUUGCCCAUUCCAAGGACGUGGCUAUUCGAAUAGGUUUAUUACUCUCUGCAAAGGGUGUACACUUUCCCCACAUGAUAGGCACAAUCCCAACCAUGAUCAGUGGUAGAAUUAACCUAACGAGAUCCCGUUCCCGGUUAACGCGACCUUGGGUUUCCAUAUAAUUCUACUGCGGCCUAUUUAGGGGUCGGUAACCACAAAGCGUUUGGAUGGUCACAUGACAUCCUAUCAGCGUUUGGAUGAUCACACAGCAUCCAAUUAAAAAAGGGGCUCGCACCCGGACCAACAAUAAUUUCACAUGGAAGAUCACAUAGCAACCAUGCCGACCAGACCACGGAGAUCACACAGCAACCAUGUCCUUUCCUGAUAGUCCGUUGCCACCCCGGCCUCCUAGUAACAAUUAUAUUUCUACCCAACGGGGUGUGAGAUCAAGUCUACCCAUAUAGACAUGUGGUUGUACGCAUAUCAAACUAGGUGAGAUGGCCUAUGAACCGGUCCUUAUUACAUGACCGAAAUGAGCAUCUCCAACAGGAACCCUCUCUAGGCGAUCCUGCCAAGGUAAAUCAUACCACAUGAUUUACCCCCGCUCAUUCCCGUCUAACAUGUUCGAGUUCACCAAAUUUAUGUUGCAUAUUUAUAUAGUUCAGUUCAUAACUUGUCCAUAUUAGAAGUUCAUAGAAUAUCAUAUAGUUCCCAUCAUAACAUGCAGGUCGUUCCAUUUUACGAAUAUUCAACGGUUCGUAACAUAACAUAGUAGCUCAUAAUAUUCAGUUUCAAAAGUAUACAUGUCUAUAUAUAUAGAAGGUGACACACAUUAUAUAAUUUAAGUUUAUUAGUCGUUUGAUGGAAAAAUGAGUGUUGACGGGUUUGUAGUGGAAAUGAUAAAAUAUGGUGGUGGCGGAAGGGGGAAGCUAGUACUUGCCUUCGUUGUACUCUCCUUCCGAUUCAACGUAGUCUGGGUCCUCGCCUUCCUGGUAUUCACUCUCCUCUGCUUCCCAAUCUGGCCGGAGUUGCGCUUCAGGGGAUGAACUGAGGCUUGGACUCCACAGCGGCGGCGGCGACACCCAGUUUUGGGCAAAAUGUGACGGUGCUGGAAAUGAGAUGGGAAUAGGGGAGGUGUGGGGAAGACGGCGUGUUCCAACUCAAUGCGAAGCUCGUAGUGAUGGUCGUGACGGCGGAGACUCACCGGUAGAGCCCUUUUAUAGGCCGGCGAUGUCGGUGGCGGCGGCAAGAUCUUUUCAGCUUGCCGGCCGAUAUUUUCUUCCUCGCGCACAUGGUCGAGCUCGAGGUUCUAGGUGCCGGGCUAGACUCUUCCCUGUCCUCCCGCCUCCGGCGAGGUCGGUUCUAGGUGAGGUCUCGUCAAUGGCGUCGGUGGGGUUUGCGUGCCAGCCUCUCUGAUGGUGUUGACGUGCUGUGAAGCACAGGGAAGAAGGAGAGGGGAUGAUGUAAUGGUUCGAGGCUGGUCAGCUGGUUCCUGUGUGCUGGUCCUCCUUGACAUUGGGACAGGGCCACGACAGGGCCGGUGAAUCGAGCGUGGAUGCGGAUUCACGCUGAAGAGGAUGAAGCUGACCACAGGGUCCCACUCGUCAGUGAGAAGUGAGGGAAAGGGGGAGAGCUGCCACUGCGCCUUGCUGGGCCAGAAGGGAAUAAGAAAAAAAGGCUUGAGUUCGUUUUUCUCAUUUAUAAGAAGGCCUUUUCCCUUUCCCUUUCUCCGAAAAACCACUAGAGAGAAAUUUUACUUUAAAUUCAAAAAAUAAUUUUCAAGAGAUAAUAUGUACCACCAUAGGUUCAUUGAGCAGAACACAACACAUGAUUUGUUCAACUUGGUGAAUUCUAUUUGUGUCAAAAAAAAUGCUACGCGGUUAAUUAUUUUUAUAGAGAAAAUUUAAAAGUUCAAAUUUUUAGUGACUUUUGAAACAUGGAAAAUUUUUAGGGUGUUACACUAGCCGAUAGGACUGUUAUCGGCAUUUCUUAAAACAUCGUAUUCAGUUCCAGAUACAUUUUAAUCCAGCCGAUAGGAGUGUUAUCGGCACCUAAACUUUCUAUGCAUCGACCCAUAUGCUUGGGUAAUACUUCUUUAAAUAUUUUCCAUUCAAUGCUCUGGGAAAUUCAAAUCCUUCGAGAGUUUCCAAAAUAUAGGCAUUACCUGGGGCAGAUCGAUUUAUCCGAUAAGGACCUUCCCAAUUGGGAGACCACUUGCCAAACUUUGAACUUUUAGUCCCAAUCGGUAAUAUUAAUUUCCAUACCAAAUCUCCAUUGACGAAUUCCUUAUCCUUUACCUUUUUAUCAUACCAUCUGACAACUUUCUUUUUAUUUUCUUCUAUACUUAUCAAAGCCUUCAGCCGAUGUCCUGCUAAAUCAUCUAACUCGUCUUUCAUCAAACUAGCAUAGUCAUCGGCAGCCAACUGAUCUUGAAAAGAUAGUCGCCUGGAUCCUGUCUUAAUUUCCCAUGGUAGCACGGCAUCGUGUCCAUAUACCAGCUGAUAAGGUGAAACUUUGGUCGACCCAUGACAAGCCAUCCGAUAUGACCAUAAAGCCUCAUUCAACAAUGUAUGCCACCUCUUAAAAUUUUAUUCAAUCUUUCGUUUGAUAAGUUUAAUAAUCCCUUUGUUAGACGCUUCGGCCUGUCCAUUAGCUUGAGCAUAAUAUGGAGAGGAAUUUAACACUUUAAUUCCCAUACCGAUUGCAAAUUCAUCAAACUCUCCCGAUGUGAACAUAGUACCCUGAUCGGUAGUAAUUGUCUGAGGAAUACCAAAUCGGUAAAUAAUAUGCUCUUUCACGAAAUCAAUCAUAUUGGCCGAUGUAACUUUCUUCAAAGGAAUAGCUUCAACCCACUUAGUGAAAUAAUCAGUGGCAACUAAGAUGAAUUUAUGCCCUUUACUCGACGGUGGGUAAAUCUGGCCGAUCAGAUCAAUAGCCCAUCCCCAGAACGACCAAGGUUUAAUAAUGGGAUUCAUGGCCGAUGCGGGUGCCCUUUGAAUAUUUCCAAAUCUCUGCCAAAUCUCUGGCAUCCUUGACAUCCUUUGAAAUAUUUAAAACAAUCCUCAAGUAUGGUCGGCCAAUAAUACCCAUUUCUUCUGAUCAUCCAUUUCAUCUUAAAAGCCGAUUGAUGUGCUCCACACACCCCUUCAUGGAUUUCUCCCAUUAAACUUCUAGCUUCAUCAUCACCUAAGCACUUGAGAAGAACCCCAUCGAUUGUUCGAUAAUAUAGCUCAUCCUCAAGGAGUACAUACUUGGUAGCUUGAAACCGGACACGCCUCUCGACCUUCUUAGAUGGAUCCCUUAAAUAACCAAUAAUCUCCUUUCUCCAAUCAUCGGCACUGAUUGCCGAUAACGUAUUCAACAUGGGUUGAUACCGCGAGGCAUGCUGAGCCAACCGAUUAGCUUCCUCAUUAUGUAACCGAGGAACAUGCUCUAAUCGGAAAUCUUUGAAUUCCCUUAAUAGUUGCAUACUCUUUUCGUAAUAAGUUAUUAGGACUUCGCUUCGGCAUUCAUAACUUCCAGCUAAUUGAUUUAUAACCAGCAUAGAAUCUCCAAAGAUCUCAACAGCAUCAGCACGAACCUCUUUCAACAAUUCCAACCCCUUGAUCAAAGCUUGAUACUCGGCUUGGUUAUUCGUUGACGUAGCAACAAUCGGCAAAAAAAACUCAUACUUCCUUCCCUGAGGGGAAAUUAACACUAUGCCAAUUCCUGCCCCCCGGUCACACGUGGAUCCAUCAAAGAAGAGUGUCCAAGGCACAAUUUCCAAAGUUUCCACUAUACCGCGAUGUUGAGUCACAAAAUCGGCCAUAAUCUGCCCUUUAACCGCUUUAGCCGAUUCGUAACGUAGAUCGAAUUCCGAUAGCGCCAAAAUCCACUUACCGAUUCUUCCACUCAUAAUCGGCAUAGAUAGCAUAUAUCGGACCACAUCAUCUUUGCAUAUAACAGUGCAUUCGGCCGAUAGCAAAUAGUGCCUUAACUUAAUGCAAGAAAAAUAUAGGCAUAAACAUAAUUUUUCAAUGGCCAAAUACCUGGUCUCAGCAUCAAUCAAUCUUCUACUUAAAUAAUAAAUCACACGCUCCUUCCCUUCAAAUUCUUGAAUCAAAGCCGAAACGAUGACCAUCCCAUCGGUAGACAAAUAUAAUCUGAAGGGCUUUCCUUGCUGAGGUGGAAUCAAGACUGGAGGAUUUGUCAAAUAAUUCUUGAUUUCAUCUAAGGCCAACUGUUGCUCUUUCCCCCAUAUAAAUUCCCGAUCGGCCUUUAAUUUAAGUAAAGGACUAAAAGCAUGAAUUUUACCAGACAAAUUAGAAAUAAAUCGCCUGAUAAAAUUUAUUUUGCCGAUCAGAGAUUGAAGCUCGGUUUUGUUGGUAGGAGCAACUAUUUUGUUAAUAGCAUCGAUAGAUCUUCUGCUAAUUUCAAUUCCCCUCUGAUGCACUAUGAAACCAAGAAAUUGCCCUGCCGAUACACCAAAUGCACAUUUGUUAGGGUUCAUCUUUAAACCAUGUUUUCUUGUGCAUUCCAACACUUUUCGCAGAUCGACAAGAUGGUUUGUGAAAUCUUUAGACUUAACCACCACAUCAUCAAUAUAAAUUUCCACCAGCUUGCCGAUGAACUCAUGAAAGAUAAAAUUCAUAGCUCUUUGAUAGGUAGCACCAGCAUUUUUCAAGCCAAAAGUCAUGACUACCCACUCAAACAAUCCAACAUGACCAGGACAUCUAAAUGCAGUCUUUGUAAUAUCUUCCUCAGCCAUGAAUAUCUGGUUAUAUCCUGCAUUGCCAUCCAUGAAGCUAAUAACUCGAUGUCCAGCCGCAACAUCAACUAGCAAAUCGGCAACUGGCAUUGGGUAACCAUCCAUCGGUGUAGCCAUGUUAAGAUUUCUAAAAUCAAUGAAAACUCGAAGCUUCCCAUUUUUCUUGUACACUGGAACAACAUUGGAAAUCCACUCGGCAUACCGACACUACCGAAUAAAUUUAGCUUCGAUAAGUUUGGUUAUUUCGUCCUUAAUAUCAGGAAGAAUAUUAGGAUUACAUCGGCGAGCCGACUGCUGAUGUGGCCGAAAUCCAGACUUGAUAGGCAACCGAUGUUCAACAAUAGAUCGGUCUAAGCCAGGCAUCUCAGUAUAAUCCCAAGCAAAGCAAUCUUUAUAUUCCUUUAACAAAUCGGUCAAUUGUUGCUUACACUCAGAAUUUAACUUAACACUAAUAAAAGUAGGUCUAGGCUAAUCACCAUUACCUAUGUCUACUUCUACUAAAGCAUCAGCCGAUGUAAACCCCUUGCCUAAUUUUCCAUCAUCGGCGAACCUAUCCAUUAAAACUCCUCAUCAGAACCGACUGCUUGGAUCGGUGGAAUUUCAUAAUCGGCAACUUUGAGGAAAUCCUUCUCCCAAACCUCUCCUGAGAUGCACCUGGUCCUUUCAUAGGUAUCUGCUUCUACCGAUGCGAUGACAUAAGAAGAAUCUCCUGGGACAAUCUCAAUCUUGUCACCUACCCAUUGAACCAAGCACUGAUGCAUUGUAGACGGGAUACAAUAGUUAGCAUGAAUCCUAUCUCUUCCCAACAGCAGAUUGUAAGCACCUUUUCCACUGAUGACGAAGAAAGUUAUCGGCAAGGUUUUGCUGCCGAUAGUCAACUCGACACAUAUUGCUCCCUUGACCGGAGACACAUUUCCUUCAAAGUCCUUUAACAUCAUAUCGAUCUUGGUCAAAUCUUGAUCCCCUCUCCCAAGCUUCCAAUAGACUGCAUACGGCAUAAUGUUGAUAGCAGCCCCACCGUCAAUAAGUAUCUUAGUCAUCGGCUGCCCAUCAACUCUUCCUUUGACGAAUAGAGCCUUAAGAUGCUGCCUUUCAUUGUCGGCAGGCUUUUCAAAGAUAGCCAUCAUCGGAUCCAGAGCCAACUGAGCUAUCUGGUCGGAAAAAUCUAGCUCCUCAUCAUCACUGGAUGGCGCAAGAAACUCCAUCGGCAACAUAAAUACCAUGUUAACAUCUGCCGAUGGCCCUUUUCCCUUGGGAUCCGGUUGCUGCUGAUCUCCAGAUUUGCCAGAAUUCUCUCCUUUGCUCAAGUCUUCUCGCCUCUCGUGCUGCAGCCUUCUUUUCUGUGUCCUAGUCAAUCUCUCUGGACACCACGGAGAAAGUUAUGGCUGCCUCACCGAUGGGCGACGACUUUCCCUUGACUCCACUCGAUAGGUGUUAGCAUCCCUGUAAAAUAUGAACUCAUCGGGAACUCGAGCAUUUGCCAUUUCCUCAAGCUCCUCUUGGUUCCUGGGAAAGUAUCCAACACGGUCACCAAGUCUAUCAUGCACACUGAGCCUGCCCCCCAGCCGAUCAUGAACUGAGGCUCUUCCCCUAAUCGGCUCAUUAAAUCGCCGAUCAUCGUUCUUAUACUGCCGAUUAGGUCUAUCAUACCGAUCAUAACCAUUGCAUUUAGGGCAGUCCCUAACAGUGGGCAACUUGAUGUUCUGUUCCCAACAGUGGAUAAAGAACGGGCAAUUCCAGUGAUCCUUAUGCCGAUUCCACUCCUGUCGGCGUCUUUCUUCUUCCCGACGGUGAUCCUCCUGUUGGCGCCGAUACUGCUCUUCACGUUGCUGCCAAGUCUCCAAAUGCCUUCUAUGAGUUAUCACAAUGCCAGAUCGAAGAGGCCUUCCUGAGCUAGUUCCUUCCUAGAUUAAACCCUUUCCUUUAGCAUCGGCAGCAGUAAUCUGAUGCUGAGGAUCCACCGAUGCACUUCUUUCAGCUGCUUCUAACGUCAACACCUUGGUCUUUCCCUUAGCAUCCAACAUAUUUGUUGGGAAAGGAUGCUGAUUGAUCUUCAUCGGCUUUUGAGCUUUAGAAUUAUCAAACUUGAUCCUCCCAGACUCUAUAGCCGAUUGCAGCUGCUGCGUGAAAACCUUGCAUUCAUUUGUACUAUGGGAUGUUGCAUUAUGCCACUUGCAGUACUUCAUCUUCUUUAAUUCUUCAGUCGAUGGAAUCACAUGAUUGGGCGAUAAUUUGAUUUGCCCUUCCUAAAGUAGAAAGUCAAAUAUUCUAUCAGCCUUGGUGAUGUCAAAUGCAAAUUUUUCUGGCUCUUUAUGCCCAAAAGGGCAAGACAUCGGCUUCUUAUUUUUCACCUAUUCUGCCAAGCCGAUGACUGGUUCCUCAUCAGAGUCUGAGCUUGCUGCUUCAUCAACAAAUGACACCUUUUUAUUCCACUCAUCUCUGUUAGCAGCUUCCCCGCACUGGAUGAUGAACCUAUUGACAUGCUCCAUAGUUGAUGUAUCAUCCUGUCUAGAAAACUUAGUAAAAUCUGGUACCUUGUACCGAUUUGGAAGUGGUAUUAAAUCAUAUGCAGGAGGAUACGGUGUCUGAUAAGAGUAAGUGUUGACUUUGGGUUUUAUCCCAAAUUGGUCUCUCAUUACUUCAGCUAUCUUAUCGGCCCAAUAAGCAUUGGCAUCUUGCCGAUGAGGCGGUUGUGGAUCUGGCACCUGCUGAUAUGCUUCCACGUGUCUCUGAGGUGCAUGAUCUGCAUGGAGCAUCGGGUUAAUCAUCUGACCUCCAAUCUGCUGACCAAGAUUCAUCGGCUGAUUGACCAACCCUUGAUUCUGAAAUCCAGGUUGGAUUUGACCUUGUUGAAACCCUACAGCCUGAUGAUUCUGCUGAGGCAUCUGUGGAAAAACUAACUGCCCUGUCCGGCCACUAUUAGGGUUCAUCAGCAUAGGCCCUGCUGAUGACUGGUAGUUGGGCAUCAUCAUCGAAUUGACAUACCCUAGUUGCGUCAUAAACCUCUGCUGCGUCAGCAUUGAAUCUGCAGAUGUGUUAGGCAUCUGGAAUGUUGGAACUUGAGAAUUCCCAGUGGUCUUGCAGUAGUAGUUGUAGUAUACUGGGGACUCUGAUUCAUCAGCGGAUUUGAAGGUGCCGAUGCCAUAGGAGCCUUGCCUAUCAAGUCAGCCACUUGAGAUGUUCCAGGAGUCUUUGCCAUCAAAUCUGGGGGCAUACCAUAACCCCACCAGUUGGGAGGAACAGAACCUGACAUUGCCGAUGCCAAUAGAUCUAUAGCAAGCUUGAUUAACUCGUCUGAUGUUGAUGGAUUGGUCGUCAUUGGUGUAGAUUGCGCAUUAGUGAUCCCUAAUGUGCUUGGAGGAGAAGUAACUUCUGUACCCGCAAUGGCUGCAGUAGCCGAUGGAGCCGUGACCAAUGAUGACCCUGGCUGAUGAUAGGCAGGACCCACAUAAUUUGGUGGCAAUUGCCCUUCCUUGAAAGUUCUAGCCACCGCAUUGAAAACCGUGUUGGACAGCACACCAGCUUGAUUGAUCAAAGCAUGAUUAAUGGCACUGUCAACCAUGUCUUGAAGUUUACCAGAAUUGGCUUCAAAAGUAAUCUGCCAAGGUGCCGGCAACGCUUCCUUUUGGAUCACCUCGCCACUCCUGUUGAUACUGAAGGAUUUCAAGCAUUGCUGCUUGUACUCCUCCAUGGCUUUUGCCAUAGCUCGCUUCUGCUCAUCUCUGAGAUUGGCCUCCGUCACCGGGAUAAUGUUCUCCAAGUUGAAAUCGGUGUUCGACAUGUUGAUCUUGAUCUUGAAUAUGGUCCCACUGGCCGUGUCAAAAUAUGUGUUGGUGCAAAAUCUGGUCUGCAAACACAAAGGGCUAAUAUCCGAUUCAAACGUUAAGGCGUGCCAGCCGAUUUGACCUUACAAUCGACAAAGGUGGUAACUCGAACACUUUGGUCCCGACAACAGCGAUGCGCCCGGAUGUCACGGCCAAGAGGUGCUCACGUGGAACUUGAGAACACGCCGAGCUUAAGUCGACGAAUUCCUAAGAACUCGUAGUAAAAAGGAAAAUAUGACGAAAUUGUCGAAAAGUAGAUGCUGGAAUAUGAGUAAAAACUUGUGUUUGAUUGAUUGAUAGAUGUCUCAUUACAUUGCCCUAGGGUCUACAUUUAUACCAUGUCCAAAGAGCUACAACCAGACACGACUAGGACUCAAAUUCCAAAUUAAACGGAAACCGUAUACAAAACAAAUUCUAAUAACUAAGGAAAACAUUAAACUAGCCCCCGUAACUGAUCGGGACACUGCCACUAAUCAAUCGGCAACUUCCAUGCUUUCCUCCAGAGUCAUCGGCAGACUACCUGUUAUAGCCAUCGGCAAAUACUGGCACUGGUCAUUGGCAUGAAUAUACCAUCACUUCUAGACUUGGUCAUAUUCGGUUGUCUCCCCAUCGGCAACCACCUUCAUUGGCAACCUCCCUACAGACUGGUCACCACUACUCCAUCUGCCGAUCUACAUCUCAUUAACUCCACAUGCGUAUCAAAAGAUACGUGUCCAAAAACGGUGUCAACAGGAUCACAGCAGACGCCAUCUAACUUCGCCUAUUCCCAUUCACUUUGCUUGGGAUAGCGAAGCAAUGGUUCUAUGCUCAGCCCAAAGAUGUUAACACAUGGACAAGGUGUGCCAGUGCAUUCCUCACAAAGUUCUUUCCAAUGGGCAAGACCUCUGCCCUGAGGACCAGAAUUUCGAGCUUUCAGCAGAAGUCAGAUGGGACCAUUCUCGAAGCAUGGGAAUGUCUAUAGGAGUACAUCCUAGACUGCCCACAUCACAGAAUCAAGGAAUGGCACCUACUCUAAGAGUUUCUACCACGGGUUGUCCCCAGUAGCCCGAAGUCACCUUGAUGCUUCUGCAAGAGGAUCGUUCAUCUCCCUCAACGUCACGCAAGCCAGGAAUCUCAUUGAGAACAUCGUGACGAACCAAGAGUGGACAGGAGAACGACCUCAACCUAAGAAAGGAGGCACACAUUAUGUGGACGAAGUGAAUGCCAUCCCCCAAAAGAUGGAACUCUUGAUGAAGAAGUUGGAUGAACGAGCUAACUUCACGAUGGAUCGAGAGGCCAUCCAACAACAAAUCUCUGCAUGUAACCAAAACAUAAAGCAGAGCACAAAACACGAAGUUGCUUAUGCCAUCAACAACUUACGACCUCAGAAAGGAGGGACUACCUCGCGUUUCAAGAGCCAAGGUAACACAAAAUCAAGUUCGCCUUCGCUUAGAAAGCUUGUCAUGAGCCAGGCUAAAGUUAACGAAAAUAUCAAUAAUAAAUUGCUAGCUCAUGAAAAGAUCCUUAAAAUAAUUUCUACUAAAAUGAAGUCUUUUGCUACGUCUGUUAAGGAUGAGCUAUAUUUUAUCAAAAUGCUCGAAUCUCAGAUUAAAAUGGUUGCAUCCUUUAUUCCGUCUCCUAUCAAAUCUUGCAAUUCUCUGAAUGUUGUGGCCAUGAGAGGGGGUAAGACCACUCGUGAUCCACCAUAUCCUAACAUGACCAGGAAGCCAGCAAGAAAGGACAAGGAAGAAGAAGAAGAAGAAGAGAAAGAGGACAAAGAAGAACUCCCAUCCACGCAGGAAAAAGCCACGUUCUAUGGGAAGAUAGCGCCGCAUGAUUUCUAUGACACCUACUUGUCGCUACCCUUUCCAAGAACAAAGAAGUAAACGGCCGAUGAACAGUUCAAAAAAUUUGUUGAGGUAAUUCAUCAAUUAUUUGUCAACAUUCUGCUACUUGAUGCAAUGCAGGUCCCAACCUACGCCAAGUACCUCAAAUACAUCCUCAACAACAAGCGCCCGCUACCCACUACUGAGGUAAUUAAACUAACGGAAGAAUGUAGUGCUGCAUUGCUAAACUAUCCGCCGGAAAAGAAGAAGGACCCUGGAUGUCUGACCAUCGACUGCUCCAUCGGGACACAACACUUCGAUCAUGCACUGUGUGACUUGGGUGCAAGCGUCAGUGUCAUGCCAAAGGUCAUUUAUGAUCAACUAACUCAUGCUACCUUGUACCCCACAUCAAUCUAUUUGCAGCUGGUAGAUCAGUCAAUCCGCCACCUAGCGGGGAUUGCUGAAAACAUACAAGUUAAGGAAUUUUGUCGUCCCCGUGGAUUUCGUGGUACUCAACAUGGACGUAGACAAGAAAAUACCACUUAUCCUCGAAUGACCAUUCCUCAGUACCACCAAUGCAAAUAUUGAUGUCGGAGCCGGAGAGAUCGAAUUCACCAUCAACGGGACCCAGGAGAAAUUCAACUUCAAGCCCAAGCUUGAACAAUGCUCACUCAUCUUGGUCACUGAAGUGGCACCCACACUCAUCAUGACAAGAAUUAAGAAGAAACAAGGUCCAGUACCAUGAGUGAACCCAAAAAGGAUAUGGAAGAAGAAAGUAACUCAACCAUCAAAACCUCCAGGCAAAAAUUAUAAAAUAUUUCAACGAGGGAGUCCUGUCGAAAGGACUUGAGGGAAAAUUCUUCCAUCUAGGUAAGUACACUCAUACUUUUAAUUUAUUUAUUUAUUAGUAUUUAUUUCUGUCUUUUAUUUCUACCAAUUUAAUUCCUAAAUAAUAAAUAGUAUAAAAUAAUAAGUCUUCUGGGACGAGGCAGACACCUGGAGGGCCCCAGGUAGGGAUCGGCCGAUCCCUGUCUCGAGGGCCCCACCUGUCAGCCUGUACCCCCUGCACUAUUGAGCACUCACUGACAUAGCCCAUCAGACAGGAGCAUGCAUUGCUCCCUCUUUUCCCUACCUAUUCCACUUACCACAGAAACCAAGGGAAGAUUCCCUGUGCAACCUCGAAAGUUGAAAAAGCUGAUGCUCCACUAGAUAGGAUUCUUAAUCCUAUGCACAUCGUGCGAGGACACACUAGGAGAGGUGGCAGGGAGGGGAUCGGCCGAUCCCCCUCCUGGCCCCUUUUCUUGCUCUGUGUCUCCCACCCAGUAGACACAGGAGUGCCAUACAUGUUGCACCUAAAAAAGUCUAAAAGGCAAAGAAUCUUUGAUCCAUCACUUGAAACCCAAAGAUGCUUCUCACUUUUAUGACACUUUUUAGAAGUGCACAUCAGCCAAAACACAAAGAGGUACAUGCCACCAUGCUUAUGACACACUUUUAACAUGUCCACACCUUUUGUCAUUUCAACUUUCCGCUUUCACAAAAACACUAGGUAGGGAAUCUCUGACAAAGUGCUGCACUCUUUACCAAAAUCAGAUCCUUGCUUUAUGAGACACAUGAUGACACAAAGUGAAAGAGGAAAAUCCCUAUCCAAGGGCUCGGCCGAUCUCCUUAGUGGGGGACAUCUGAAAACCUUUUAGUCCUCCAUGCCAGAUUCCUCACACAAAGUUUAAUGCCACUCAAAAUUUCAAAUUUUUUCAAAGGGAGAGGCUCGGCCGAGACCCCUCCUUGAGCUUUUCCACUCGCCCUCUUCACUCUAUAAAUACCUCCCUUGGGAGAGCUCCUUCAUCAACACAAGCAUUUAGAAUCACUUUGAGCUUCACACACCCUUCUCCCUUCUCUAGUGCAAGUGCCUUCUCAAGUCUAGUAGAGUAGUAGUCAUCCAAGAGAAAACCCAAAAAUAUUUUCUAGUUCAUCCUAGUCCGAUCGAAGCCACCACGAGAAGGUAGCGGGGGAGUGGGUUAAGCUAACAUCUCUUUUGUGAAGUGGUGUUGUUGUUUUCCCCAUUCAGGAAUGAAGAAGCUAUUCAAGAGCGCGGCAAGCAAACUACGUGACAAGAUUAGUUUGAGCUCAUCCUCAUCAAGGUCCACAUGCCAAUCCGAGGGUGUCCCCUCUAUCUCCAUGGAGGAGGUGGGAGAGCAAGAACAUGGGGGUGGUGCACAUUAAGAGGAGGUGAAUGAGAAGUCGCAGCCCCUCAGGACGCAAGAUGUGGAGACUGCCUUUGGCUCAACCUUGACGAGAUGGGCACGCUCAACCAACUCCGCAACUGCACUUUCGUGCACACAAAGGUAAUCGAUCCCGAGCUCCUCCAUCACACAGGUAUGGAUGAGGAGUUCCCUGAAGUUUUUAAUGCACUUGGGUAGAAUAACUUUUGGGAUAUCUCGCAUUACCCUGGUAGUAGAGUCCUCACCCUUGAGUUUUUGAGCACCGUAGUAACCAAUGAUUUUUGCAUCUAUUUUCACUUACGGGGUCGGGAGUUCAAUUUCUCUUGGGAUGAGUUUGCUCAUUUCCUUGGCUUUGUUAAUUGCACUACCAAGGUUGUGCUAGCCACUAAAAAUUGUGACAAGAAAGAGUUGUGGUGUGAAAUGUGUGGGAGGAAUUACCCAGGGAAAGAACAACCUCGCACUAGCCAUAUUUGUCAUCCUACCCUGCGCUUUUUGCACAUUUGGAUUGGUAUUACUUUGUUCCCUAGGAAAGACAAUAUAUUUGUGAGGGAAAUAGACACUACCAUCCUUUAUGCCAUGAUUCACUGUAUCCGCAUAGCCUCGGUUAAUGCUUUAGUGCAUCAUUGGAAAUCAUUUGCUAAGAGGGGUUUGAUUGAAUUUACUUCCUUGAUCACAAAGUUGUGUGCAAGUUGCAAUUUGCUUGAUGAGAACAUUCCUUACAUACCUUCUGCUAGAACUGUGCUAGGCAAAAAGAUCUCCUUUAGUUAUAUGUCAUGCAUGUGCACCUUUUCCUGGAAAUGAUGAGUAGUUGCUUGUUUGUAGUUCUCUAGUACCUAGUUUUCAACUUAGUAUUUCCCUUAAGUAUGAAUCACUUGGCUACCAUGAAACCACCAUGAACUUGAACACUCUAGUGGGACGCAAAUGCUAAAACUAAGUCUAAGUUGUUCUAAGAUAUGAGAUGGUAAGAUAAGAGCUGCUAUAAUAUCAUUCUGAUCAUGUAUGACUACUAGAGUUUUUAUUUCUUAAAAUGAUCAAAACCUUAAUUGUUCCUCAAUGGUAUUGAAAUUUCCUACCACAGCCAAAUACACAUAUUUUUUUGGAAGCCUUCUACAUAAGCUACUGCUUCAUAGUGAGUCAAGUUAAGUCUUCUAGAACCUGUGUUAAGGGAUUUGUCAUGCACCUAUGAUCAAGAUUCCACUAGCCACAUAUAUAUUGCUACUUCUACCAUAGAAGUACGCCUAAUCAUAAACACCAUGCUACUCCCACCUUGGAAGUACACAUCUCCAUAUUCACCAUCAUCUUGCUACUUCUAUCCUAGAAGUACGCAGCUCCAUUUCCACCAGAAAGGUUGAAAGGUCCUUGUUUGGUUUUGGUAAUUGAGUGACAACUUAGGUGGACUAAUAGUGUUUAUGUGAGAUACACAGGAGAUUAGUCCAAAGGUGAUUAUGUGAUGAUGGAGGAGCUCAUUGCAUAUGAGACAUGACAUGGAGUCAUGUGACCAAGGUGGAGAAGAUCAAGAUGAGGCUUGGCUUGAUGGACCGGUUGCAAGAGUGAAGGGCAAGUCGGAGGCUUUGAAGCGAGGGACCGCGUGUGACGGUGAAGCUUGAGCAAGACUUGGCGCCGAUGGACCGAGGCAACGGUGAAGAGCAAGUGAGGUCAAGAUCGAUGAACCAAUACGGUCACGUGAUGAUAUGAAGUGGAUCAUAUCUUUUGGUGAUUGGUUGGUGCAUGUGUGGCAUCAACAUUGGAGGAGAUGGAAUGGAAAGCGCAAGGCAAAGGUAUAACCUAGGGCAUUUCCAUUUCACCGGUCAUAGGUGUGUAGAGAAGUUUAUGACCGGAUUUAGGAUAGAUGGCCGUACUAUCAAGAGGGGCAAACUUGUUUGCAUAUCGGUCAUCUAGUGCCACUUGAGCGAUCUAACUUUGCAUACGUGUUAGGAUCGAGUGGCGUGGCAAGUUGAGAGGCUAACUCCUUUGGGAAAAUGUUUGUGAAAAUGCUAACACACUUGCACAUGGUGUUGUACACUUGGUGGUGUUGGCACAUUUGCAAAGGAGGUGGUGUUCCUAGGGUUGAGAGAGGUGGUGUCCCAUGGAUUCGGCGCUUUUGAGAAAAACAAGUGUAUAUUUUCUAUUGCGCCGGUGGGAAAUUUAGAGAAGUCGCGGGAGUGUUUUCUCACUGAGAAACACUCACCGGACGCUGGCCUCAACGUCCGGUGAGCUUGACCCUGCUAGGGUUAAGCACCGAACGCACUCUGAGAGCGUCUGGUGGUUAGCGUCCGGUGUGAGGGGUUUUUGCAACCCUCUCUGCGCACGAGUCCGGUGAGCACCGGACCGUCCGGUGCCUAGCGUCCGGUGAGGUCGCGAGUUUGACAAACUCUCUGUGCACGAGUGCGGUGAGCACCGGACCGUCCGGUGCCCAUCGUCCGGUGGUGCUGUGCAGGCGCGCGUGCGAAGUAGCCGUUGGCAGCAACGGUCGAUUUCAAACGGCUAGUGACACGUGGCCGACGCCUGAGCACCGGACGCUGGGUGUUGAGCGUCUGGUGGCUCCUUGAGAGCGUCCGGUGCCCACAUGUUUUGCCCAGUGAAGGGGCAACGGCUAGUUUAGCCCUUGGGGCUAUAAAUAGAAGUGGUGGCCGGCCUUGGCUGGUGCUGAGCACCCUUGGGACUUAGUGUCCAUGCUUGGGGAGUGCUAGUAAAGCCUCUAACUCACAUAUGCUUGAUAGUAAUCAUCCGAUUGUGUGAGUGAGCGAUUCUAGUGCGUUGCAUUGAGAGAUUGCAUCGAGUGGCACUAGGUGUUCGUGUUGCAAGCCGGUGGUGCUUGUUACUCUUGGAGGUUGCCACCUCCUAGACGGCUUGGUGGCUUGUGACUCCGUCGAAGCACGCAAGGAGAUUGUGCGGUGCUCCGGAGAAGAGAUUGUGAGGGGUACGGUGCUCACCCCGCGGGGAUCGCGAAGAGCAACUCUAGUUGAGCGAGACGUGAAGAGCGACAAGUGGUCUGGCCGGGUCAAGUGCUAGAGCUUGUGGUAAGCACUCCACGUGGGAGAGUGUGACUUGCGGGUCACCACUAGCAAGAGGACCGGCGGCAACCUUGGAGCUUGUCUCAACGGGGACGUAGCUUGGUGGCAACCAAGUGAACCUCGGGAGAAAAUCAUCAUGUCAACUUUGUUCUUCCCAUUGGUUUGCAAGUCCCUAACACAAGCUUAUUUUUACAUUCAUAUACUUGUGCUUGUGAAGUUGCUCUUGUAAUUAGUUAGCUUGUGUAGCUUGCUAGUUACCUUCUUGCUUGUGUAGCUAGAAGUAGUUCCCUUGCGUGACUAAUUUGGUUUGUGUAACCUUGUUAGUCACAUUGCUUAGUUUGUGUAGCUAAGUAAUUUGCGCUCUCUAAUUUGGCAUUAGUUGCCUUGUUAUUGAGCUUGCUAGUGAGCUUAGGCUUUGUGCGCUUUGCCUCACUAGUUUGAAUAGGAGCUCCCCCAGUUUGCAAAGUACUAGUUGCAUAGGUUUGUGUGACCUUGCUCCUAGAAUUGGUUAGGUGACCUCUUGCUAAGGUAGCACCUUGUUUGCUUGUUUAGGAUCUUUUCAAGGUGCUAGAGAACUUAGAUAGAGAGGUGUAGUCUUGGCUAGACCGAUAGUUUUAAUUCCGCAUUUGUUUCGGUUAGCCGGCGCGAUAAGUUUUAGAAAGGACUAUUCACCCCCCCUCUAGUCCGCCAUCUCGACCCUUCAAAGGUGGCUCCCUACUCUUAAAAGUUAGAAUUUCUCUCCAAAGUUAUCAAUGUGUUAGAUGAGACACAAGUAAAGGCUAGCAAGUAUCAGUUUAUAGACACAUCCAAAGCCAUCUCUCUCUCUCUUCUAAAAAAACAGAGAAAGAAGUAUAUGCUAGCCUCGUCUCAAUAAAAGUUUAGAGAGAAAGAACUUGUCAAAUAGAGGAGCAAUCUAGUCCACCACCACAUCUUCCAUACCACACACACACACAUUCACAUCUUGAUCUCAGAGUAUGACAUGUCUCUUCUUAGGUCCAAUCCUUAACUAGACAAAAAUCUGCAGAGUGAGUAUGCUAUUCCUUGCCAUACCUAUUAUGAGCUCCAUAUAAAGCCUUUGUAGAACAUAGGAUGGUAGAAGAAAGGCAGUCAUACUUUAUGCCUUGGUAAGGAAACAUACACUUUUGAGUGACAUGAGAGUACCAUUUGAGGAACAUUAAGAUUUCUUUUGAAAAACAUUACAAAACCUCUAGUAUGAAACUUGCAAAAGAGUGAGAAAAAUAGUGCUCAAGUCCAACUGUUAUGUCUCUCAACAUCCCAAGAGAAAGGAAAGGCUAAAGGCCCCAUAGAGGACUAAGGUAAUAUGGGUGAGUUUUAAAUUGCCAAGUUCUUCAUUGCUCACUUGAAAUACUUUGUUGCAUGCCUGGUACUCUUGAAACAUGAAGAUAACAACAAUUUCUGAUUGACCGAGACCAAGUUCUAAUUAUUUUCUUGGGACAAGCAAAGGUUAAGCUUGGGGGACCUUGUUGAUGGAAAUUAUAGCAUAAAAAUGCACAUUCAAAACACCGUCAACAACCUCGGUUUCAAGGAAUAAUCACAUGACAUAGACAUAUUUUAUCAAUAAUUGGUUCUAGAUGUACCUUGAGCUUGUGAAUGCAGAACUUAGCAAAAUGGCACAAAACCGAGCUGAAGUGGGCCCACAUGGGGGAUUGGCCGAUCCCCCUGUGCCACCUCCUCAAGGUGCCACAUAGGCAUGAUCCAAGGCAACCUCCUAGAAGCAAUUCUCAGCCUUUGGAUCAGAGUGUGCUUUCUCUCAACGGCUGAAAUCAAGAGCACACAGAUUCAUGGGUCCACAUGUCAGAAGAACUGGCGUGACAACGUGCAACAAGUGGGUGAACCAGUGCCUAUGACUAGUGGGGACACCAGCCAACCGACUCUGGCUGGCCCCACUAGUCAUAGGGGCAUCGGUCGAUCCCCCCUAGCGCCAGCCAGGUCAGUUGGCCCUCCACCGACUUCCCCACAUUGAGCACAUGUUGAUUUGAUACAAGACAUUGGAUUAAAGGCAGUUUCAAGGCCGGUUUGAUCCAAUGGCCAUCGAGCAACAUCAUGCAGAUCGAUGACAUGGCGAUGGAGUAGCCCCUACUCCACCUCUCCCUAUAAAUACCUGCUGUAUUCACCCUCUCAAGGCAUGAUGUGAUUGUAUUCAAGACUACAAGUCUAAUUUCCUUAGUAAUUGUAGUCUAGUGUGGGAGUUAGAGUCGAGUCGAGCGAAGCUCGGGGUCUCUGGAGUCGUCUUCUGGAGAGUGUGGUAUUCCUCUUGUACUUUCCUUUUGCAAUACUUUAAUUUAUAUUUCUCUUCUACUUUCCUGAGUAUUUACUUAGUGCAAUAUUAUUCCUACAAUAGUGUUGUAGUGUUUUAGCCUAGUUUGCUAGUAGUGCAAGGUAGAUUGUGAUCCUGUUACCACUCCUUAGUUGUUACCAAUGUCUUUACAAGUUGCUCUGGCUAGGACAUAUUCUUAGUUAGAGUAGUGAGAGUUAGUGUAGGCGCGGUGCCUAGAUUAAGUCUCAUCGUUGGAGGCUGCUAGUCUUCAUGGAAGGUCUGUGGGUGCACUGGCUUGAAGUGACAGUUCGGGAUCGGCAUUAGAUCCCACCAUGUAGAGGCAUACAUAAGUUUGGUCUCGCUUGAGCAGGGGUUCUGUCUCCUUCUCUCUCGUUUCCUCCCAGCAACUAAGUUAUUGAGGUAGCAAUCCUAGCUUGUAUCUUUUAUCUAAUUAGACUAGAACACAGAAGUAGAGGUAGAAUCCAUAGGAGUCCUUAACUCACUUGUUGUCCUCCCACCUAGCUGCUCUACGUUAGUUAUCUUUCGUUGUCUUAGGAUCAGCAUCAUCAACCUUCCAUCCAAAUCAUCAUCACCUUUCCUUGCUCUAGUUGCCAUUAGAUUGUGAUAGGGAUAUCUUUUCUCUUGAACCAUUUCUAGCUACUGCUUUCCUUUGGGAUAAAUAUAAAUUACGACACUUUAGACUACUCCUAGGUGAAGUGCUACAGCGGUACAUUUUGUGCGCUUGCGGAAUCAUCCAAUAGACAUUUGAAUUACCACGUACCUGGCAUCUCUAGUGACGUCGCUAUUUUAGUGGUGCUACUAAGAAAUAUCAACACCUAGCAUUGUACCAGCCUCCCCUAUAGUGCCUCCUCCUCUGUUUUCUGUUUUGAUGCCUUGAUGCUCCAAAUUCAUGAUCAAAUGAUGCUAGACAUGUUUCUUAGGCCACUACUACUUGGUUUUUUGGGGUUAUAUUGGGUAUAGAACUAGUUCUACUACUAUACCAAUCUUGAGCCUUUUGAUUUCUUCUAUCUAUUAGAACAAAGCAUGAAAUGUCCAAGCUAGGAGAUAGUGUAGCCUGAGGCCCCAAAAAUUCUGAUCUGUCACCGCAUGAAGGGCAAGAGCUAGAGGACUAGCUUACUCAAGAAUAGUUCGACAACGAGUUAGAAAAUGAUCUAGAAGUGUUUCUUACUCAAUAGGAGCUUCACAAGGAGCAAGGGGGAGUGGAGGGAAGAGGAAGAGAGGCUGAUCAAGGCGACAAAGAGGACGAUGGUGAAAGCUCAUCCUCAAGAUAUGAAAGCCCCAAGGAUCCUUUCGCACAAGAAUCUGGACGAAGGCCAACUGAGGAAGAGUUGGACCAAGAUUUUGACUCAAACGGGGAGGUAGGGAUGGAACCUUUGUAGCCUAUACAAUUUGCUGAGGCUUUGGUUGUAUUACCUCUGCUAAUUCUUUUGACUUGUCAUAUAUGCAGGUCCUUGCUAUACCUCCGAAAAGACGACGUUGGCGUCUAUCAUGUUUUGUCAAACAAGAGAGAGUAGGGGAAAGGAAGGCAGAGGCAACAACCAUAGAGACCAACAUUGAGGCCUCUGCUCCAGACCCUCAAGGCACAACCAUGACCUCAACUACUGAACCAAAGAGGAAAUGAGAGAAAAGAAUGGUGAACCAAUAUCCAAAGAAGGGGGUAUGUUAUGUGAUAGCGUAAGUUAGGCCAGAAGGGUAGAUCCUUGAGCCACCAGAGUACAUCAGCUGAUCUUGUAAUGUGAUCUGGGCACUAUUAAGAGAUCAAUUGAACCCAACAUUCCCUGUUUGGAGUGGCAAACAUGCACGUAAGAUGAAAAAGAAAGAGCUAUGGGACAAGUGGCUGAUGGACACUUUCAGGUUGCCAGAGGGAAACAUGAACUGGUACAAAAACAGGCUUACAAGAUAAUGGGCAAUGCCUUCCAAUGUUGGAGGUCGGAUCUCAACAAGAGAUUUAUCCAAAAGGAGUUAACUCCCUUCCACGAGUUUGGUAAAAUUACUCAUAAUCAAUGGGCAUAGCUCAUGGCUGAGAAGACUUCACCUGAAGCAUUGGCCCUCAGUGCCUGUUGACACUUGCUAACACCACUUGAAUACUAGGUUGUUAUCCCCAGCAUGACACUAGAGUGUACUAUGGUAUUUAUACGCACACAGAUAAUCCGCAAGCGCACGGAUACCGUUGUAGCUUUUACCCGGUUAAAGGUUUUAUUGUAUCCACAGGGAAACGGGAGAACCAACUACGCUCUAACUUAGCCAAGAUAGAUAGAUAAGUGUAAAUAAGAAAGAUGAUAGAAUUGAAAAAGAACAAUAUUAAAGGUAAGAUAACAAUGGGUGAUAAUAUGGGAAUAGAGAGUAGAGCAAUCUAGUAUAUGCGCGAUGGUAGCCGAAUAGAGAGGAUAACUAUGAUUUCUCUACUUCAAAGGGGCAUGUCUAUGUCUGAGACGAACCACGUGAUAAGAAUACACCACAAAGGAUGCUUAUCCAUAGGCUGAUAAACCCUACCCGUCCUGCUAAGAGGAGGUGGACUACAGGGACCAACGUAACUUUCACCUACGCGGCCUACCACACAAUCCAGCUAGACAGGGGAUAUCCACAAGUAAUCUAGGUCUAAGCACCAUGCUUACACCUAUACUACAACUCUAACCUAUAGGGUCCUAUAGAUUAGAAGUACUCAAAAGAGUUGUGAACCAGAACAUACAUGAUUAGUAAUUGCAUAAUGAAUUAGAAGUAGAUUACCAAAGUCAUCCCAUGAGCAAGCAUGAUUAGAGCUUGAUCAUGGCGAUGUACAACCGGAGGAAGAACCGACAGGCCGGCCUCUCCUCCAAUCCUCCCUCGCUCUCCAUCUCACUACGAUCUAGAUCUACUCUAGUUUAGAGAUGAGAGGAGUGCUCUCAUCUCCAAACCCUAGCUUUUGCUCUGUCUAUGAAUAAUGAAUAGGGAUCAAGGGGUGCCUCCUCCAGGGGCCAGGGGGUCUGCCUAUAUAGUCCCCUCAAGUGAAUCUGGGCCGUCGGAUCAAAUCGACAUUGAUUGAACGGUUAUUCUUGAUCCUUUAGGUCGGUGGAGCAUAAUCUACGAAGCGAGUCCUGAUUGGACUCUGUAGCUGGGUGGGCGCCCAAGGGGGGAGGGCGGGCGCCCUGCCCCCGAGCCCGCUCGGCCUCCCGUUCGUUCCCGUGGCUUCUGGAGUCUUCUAGAUGAUAGAAAAUUGCACGACACGUUCAUAUCUCUAUGUAAACCCGACAUGUGGGCCUUUCCUCCAUAUUUCCUGAUAACCCCCUGCAGAAAUAGACAAACACCAAAACUCGUGGAAUUCUGUCAGAUAAAACCCUAAGUUUAGGUGUUGGUUGUAUUUGGAUACUUUUCUUUGUUUAUUUGCUGAUUAUAUUUGGUACUUAAGGACCGUCAACAGUGCCCAGAAUAGGGAGCAAGCGAAGAAGAACAAACACCACCCUCGGUUAGGCCCUGGUGGCUACCAUGGCAAGCAAGCCACGUUUACGAAGAUGGAUGAAGAGAUCGAAGCUUCUGGGGAUCCAAAGAAACAGAAAAUGAAGAAUUUGAAGAAAUAUUUAAAGCAAUAGAUAUAUGCGAGGAGUAGGAUUCCUCUGACCUCAAGUUUGCUGAGCCAGAGACUGAAGAGGUAGUAUCAAGGAUACUGAAAUAUGCUGAAGACACGGAGAAGGGAACAUUCACUCCUUCCAGAGAGAGGCACGAGUUGAGCCUUAGUUUGGGAAACCCUAAGCACAUAGGCACACUAGGGGGCUAGGGAAACUGACAACAUGGAAGCAAGGAUUUGUAGGGGAUAGCAACAUGUACAAGAAACAUGACAGAGGCCGAGAGACCAAUCUUGAGCUCACUGUGAAGGCUCUAGUUGUGAAAGCACUUUUGGAGCAAGCUGGGAAUAUGGAGCCACAACCGCUGAUGGGGCCACCGAGAGAAUUGGCUAUAGUUGGUAGCCCCCGGGAUGUUUCCUAGCAGCCAAGGUUCCACUGCAACCGUAGCCUUCGUUGAUCACAUACGAGAGCCAACUAGUUGCACCCUGUUGGUUCCCAUGGGCAGGCGGAACACAAUGCUUGAGGUAGCAACAGGUGUGGCACAUCCUCUAGGUGGCGUCUGGCACAGUAACCCAAUCCUACAGGACUACACUAGGGUCAAGGUGCAUACCAAGAAGCCUGAGUACAUGACAUGGAGGAUAGAACAUCCAACUCCCGAGGGUCAUGAUCAGCUUGGAUAAGUCAUGAAACAGUUCAUCCUCUAGCACAAAAAGGACAUUGUAUUGAAUGUUACUUCACCAACUUUGAGUGACGUACAUCUGGAUAGAGCUGCUCAAGAUGGGCACGUGUAUUCACCGGCCCAUGGUGACCACAUGCCUGAGGUGCUACAUUCUUCCUUGACUCCUUGGGACCACAUGCCUAAUGCGCCACAUACUUCUUUAGCUCGUCAAAGUGAGCAAGGGCAUGAUGAGAUGCCACAACAUUCUCCAGCUUGUCAUAUCAAGCAAGGGCAUGAUGAUGUGAUGUCACAACCUUAUCCAACCAAGCAAGGGCCUAAUGACCUACCAGAGCCUUCUGAAUAGGCACCGCCAAUACCUAAACAAGGUCUACCUUCUGAAAAAGAGAAUGAGCACACACCUGUAUUAGAGGCCCAAAAGAAGAUUCCCAUCCAUACAAGGCCAAUGUUUGAGCCGAUGAAAGAUGUCUCCUACAUCGACCAGUGGUUUGCUCGUGCCCAGUACAAGCCUAAGAAUAAAGUUAUAGAAGUCUACGCAUGUGCUUCUGAGCCAUCCAACACUAGCAAACUCCAUGAACUAGUAAAGAAGUAUCCAAAUGUUGAGGACAUCAAGUGGACAAAGGAUUGCCAGAACAAAUAUGUAAGAGGCAAGCCCUUCCAACCAAACCGAAUCAUGCAGUGCAUGCCAAUUGGAAUGAGAAAGUUUCAUGGUUGGUACUUGUGUGCUGAGUCGACAAGACUAAACAUACAUAAAAGUUAUCUUCCCUAAAGGCACAUCUAGAGGCGUAGGUGGGGUUAUAUUAUUUGACUUCAAAGACGUGUAGGCAUGCUUUCGCCUCGGCAUGAUAGAAAUGAAUCUAGUUCACAUAUGGUGCCUGUUAGUCCUUGCCCUCUUGAUAUGAUAUGAAUGAAAAAUGUGGAUUUUGUUGUAACUAACCCACAUCAUGAUUCGUAGAGCGCAAACACAUAUUGUGAAGAAGGCACCAAAUCUAAGAGCCGGGUAUAUAGACCCUUCAUUGAUAUUAGCAUCAAAUUUCCAGUACCCUAAGAACUGGAGAAUGGAUUGUGAAGAACUAGUUGCCGGAGAGACCAUUGAGGAGAAAGAGGCCAUCCGGGUAGAUAAGAUGUACAGAGAGGGCAUUAAGGUGUCAGCACGGAUUGCUCGAUUUCUUAAGAAUCUCCAGCAUAACGAAACUAUAUGGUUACCAUACCACUUUGGGUAUGUUCGAGUCUAUAAUUAAAUAAAGCAUUUAGUUCAAUGCAAAAAAUCUUAUUUUGUUUCUUCAAUGAUUAAAUUCAUGCAGGAAGGUUGGCAGGGAUCACUAUGAAGCCUUUCAAAAGUUCGUCUAACGAGUUAGGGCCGCUAGGUUUCAUUAGUCAGUCCGUGUGAUUCUACCACGCAGGGAUCCACGGUCUGCUAUCCCUCAUUUGCACCACAUGAGUAAACUCUAACAAGCUAGAAAAGGUCUUUAUACUGAGCUAAAGCCAGAGCCAUUAUAGCCCUUAUGGUUGCACUAUCAAUCCCGGUGAUCACUUACAGACAAAUCCUCAAGUUGCUAAAAAGUCAUUUUUAUCGUUUGUUGCUUAAAUAUUAAUCAAGUCAUGAGAUCAUGGCCACAAUUCUAUACUUGCCUUGAUCAAAACUAUUCCACUACUCCUGCUGAUCCCUUUGGUUGUCAAGGUACUGAUCUUGAUCACCAAAUUACCGCUCACCGUCCAAACUCGAUCACCAAUCAUCAGCACACAAGCAAUCGGGGCCAAACAUACACAAAGCAAACAAGGUUAUAAUUAGAACAAUACACCAAUAGUAGAAAAACAGUAUGAAAAGGAUUAUAAAAUGAUUAUACGCAUCACUACGAUCACACAGACGUAAAGAUCACGAAAAUUGGAGCUAAAACGGCGAAGAUAUGAAUUUCCUAAGAUUUUCUUUAGAAAAUCAAUUAAUUAAAUAAGGUCAUGAAAUUAAAAAGUUUCAAACUGGUGAACUAAAGUUACUAUUAUGUAGAUCUCAUGAAUACGAAUAUAACACAAUUCGAAUAGGUCAAAUCAGAGUUAAAACAAAUAUUUUAUGGCUAAAACAAACUCAGUGGCAUUUUUGUAAAUCUUGAAAAUGUAUUUUGAAUCUGAGUAACCAAUUUUAUGCUUUCAACAACAGAAAAUGUAUUCCAUAAACACACUUUGGACUGUAGGUUAAUUCUCAAAAAGAGAAGGGGCUCUUUAGCAAGAUGACCUAGCCGAAGGGGUAUCAGCUUCUCCUGUCUGUUGGAUUAAAAGAGGAUGGCUUAGAUUUGGUUGGAGAGGAGAAGAUGAUGACUGCCGGCCAGAACAGUGUCACUGCAGCGGCGCCAUGGCUGGAAGCUCACUAGGGCUCGUCGUUUUAGUGUUUUAGCGCACGAUUUGUGGAACCAAAAGCACAUGAAGCAAGAGGGGAGCAAGGGGAACUCACCUAGGGGAUUUACGACGGAAGAGGAUGAACGACGAUGGUGUACAGCACGAGGGGGCGGAUGAGAGCCCCCUGUGAUGUUUGGUGAUGUCGCACAGACUACUGGGGUCGAGGGAGAGUAAGGGAAGGAGCUUGGUGGCUUUGUCUUCUAGUUGCGAAGCUUGGCACCGACUCAGAAGCGUCGGCACGAUAGUGAUUAGUAAGAACCACAGUGGCAGGUGUACUCCAGCUCGGGAGAUCCCAAUUCUACGUCCAAGAGCUCAGGCAGCGCUUACAUAAAGUAGAUGAAAAAGGGUGUUGUAGGCGAAUAUCCAUGGCUUAAAAGACGUCGGUUGAACGCAUUAGGAAAGUAAUUCCCCGAAGAUAUUGGAAUUGGGAUGCCGAUUUCACCUGGUCUGGAGUCUGGCUCUCCCACGCCCAAGGAAGGAGAAGACGAUGUCGCUAACAGGUGGUGUCCGAUGUUAGUGAGGGAGAAGGGAGGGAGAAGGCGCGUGCACUGGGCCAGCUGCUAGGCCUGAGAGGGGAAAGGUACGCUGGGCCAAGCGGGCGUAGAAAGGGGGAGGGGUGUCCACACGGCUGGCUAGGUCAAAUGAUCUGGGCCGCCACUGGGCUGAGACCGCGUAGUUGGGAUGAAGACAGGGCAGGCCAAGAGGGAGAGAUGGAGUGGGGCUUCGAGCCAAAAUUGCGAGGGAGAGCUUUUGUUUUUUAUUUUGUUUUUCUUUUAUUCAAAAGCCAUUUCAAAUCCAUUUUAAAAUCUGUUUGAAAUAUUUUUGAAUUUUGGUUAAAACCACUCAUCUAAAAAUUACAAAUGCACCAGCAUGAAUACACACAAUUGUUGCUAAGCCUUAUAAUAAAUUUUAAUUUAAAGAAAAAUAUUAUUUUUCCUAUAUUUCAUUAGCACAAAAAAACUUAAAUAAAUCAUUUUACCUCUAUUUACAAGGAAACAAAUUUUAGGGUGUUACAAUCACAUAUAUAUAACUAGAGCACUCAAUACGAGCGAAGAUCACAUGGCAAAGUAUAACAACUAUACUAACCAUAUGAAAGGCAUAGAAGUAAAUAGAGAAGAUAAUAUUUUAAAGCAAAGUCUUACAAAGAUAAGAUACAAAGAUAUAUCUGUCUCUGAAGAUUUCUCUAGAACCUAAGCAUUGGCUCAACUCUCCCUAACUCUCAACUAGAUCUAUUCUACUACAUUGGAGAGAUAUGAAUUUGAGUUUCAAGGAUGCCUCCAGAGAGGGGGGUAGGGGUCUCCUUAUAUAGUCUAGUGGGAUGAAUGUGAGCCCUUGGAUCAAACUGACUUUAAGGUAUGGUGGAAUGCAUCCUAGGAGGUAGUGGAGGAAGCUUCCACAAGCCAGAGGCGAGCGGCUUGUGUGGGAGGCCAGCCAGUCUGGGCUUGAGGUUGGCUGGCCCAUUUCUAGGUCCUUUGAGGCCCAUCUUUGGUGGUUUGUCUUCUAGUGCCUUUUAAAGCCUUCCCACGUAUGUGUUGCACUUUAAUUUUGAAUUUUCCUUUCACAAAUAAGUCCCCCUUGGUGGUUUUGUAGGUAAAUCCUGUAGAGAUCAUAGAUUCAUCAAAACUCAUGAAAUUUGUUAGUUUAACUCUAAACCUUUGUUGGUGAUCUCAAUGUGCUCCUAUGCAUGUUUAUUUAACAAUAAAAUGUUGGUGGUAACCACUGUCAACAACUACUGAGCAUCUUUAGUCGACACCAUGCAACAUGGUUUCAAAGUUUGCAUAGAUUAAGCUUGAUUGCUUUAGAUUUUUAUAGCCAAAUUCAACCACCCCUCUUAUGCCAUUCAGUCCUUACAACCAACACAAAUUAAUUAAGGCUAUGUUUGGUUAAGCUUCUAAAAAGUGCUUCUGGGACCAAAACGCAUGAAGCCAACCAAAUAGGUGAAACCUAAAGUUGCUUUUGUAGAUGUAACAACUUCCGUGUAGUAUAACUUUUCUCAUAAGAGAAGCUAUGGGAGUUUUCCUCAUAACUUCUGCUGAAAGCCCAAGUUUGGUUUUGGUAAUUAAUGACACCAAGUUGCUAAUGUCUUGUGUUUAAGUGAUUUAAGUUAGGCAUAGCAACACAUGUGAUGAAGGAGAAAUAUGACAUGUAGUGGGAGACACAUGAACACAAAGAGAUGAAGCAUGAAGUGGAGAGAUCAUGGUGAUAGACAAGGAGUAAAAUGAUCAAGGCAAAGGUAUAAAUAUAGGAUUUUGCUUUUGUCGUUCUAAGUUGAGUAGAGAAGUGAUUGACCGGAUUUAGGAUAGAUAGCCGACUAUCAAGAGGGGAAAUCAUGGUCAUCUCUCGAAUCAAGUGCUACUAGGUUCAUAUAUUGAGCAUAUGCAUUAGGAUCUAGUAAAGUGCUAACCUAACUUCUUUGAUGAAAAUGUUUGUGAAAUGCUAACACACAUGCACAAUGGUGCUGGUCACUUGGUGGUGUUAGCACAUUUGUAAAGGAGGUGGAGUUUCUAGGGUAUAGAGGGGUUUGGGUUCCACUCUCCCUCCUGCUUGUGAGGCGAGAUUCGGUGCUUUCAGAAAAAUGGAAUGCAUAUUUUCUAUUGCGCCGAAGCAAUUUUUUAAAAAAGUCACGUGAGUGUUUUCCACUAAGAAACACUCAUCAGACGCUGGGUCAGACAACAUCGAACGCUGAGGCCGCGUCUAACGAGUGCAACGCAGUAAGGCACGAAUAGUCAUGUGCGUCGGAGCGUCCGAUGGGUUUGCGUUAGACGCGGCUCCGACACUGUUCCCGCAUCUGGUGAGCUAGUGAUGUCAGCAAGCAUGCGAGCCAGUUUUUGUGGCUGUGAGCGUCAGACGCCAGGGAGCAUCUGCUGAUGACGUGUCGGACGCGUCCGACGACCCUAUGAAGUUGUAGACCUCCCUAAGUUGCAUCCGGCGUGAUGUACCGUGUCCGAUGCGCUAGAGAUUAACGGUCCAUGUUGAAAGAGCGACACAUGGCAGCGAUCUAACCAACAUUGGGAGUGAGUGUCGGACGCUUUGCCUCGUUCGACAGGUAGGCAUCAGAGCGUCCGAUGCCCCCACAGAAAGCCCUAAUGGCUAGUUGUCAGGCUGACCUCUUUAAAUAUAAUGUGGCCGACCUUGGGGGAUCUCCUCUUACACUCUUGAACACUUAAGGCAUACUUUGAGCUAGUGAACACUCCCUGCACUCAUCUCCUUUCUUGAUUGCUAAUCCUAGUGAGAUUGAGUGAGAUUCAAGUGCAUUGCUUAGUGAGUUGCAUCUAGUGGCACUUGAUCCUUGAGUUUGCUGUGGAUUUCUUAUUACUCUUGGAUGUUUCCUGACACCCUAGACGGCGUGGAGUAGUGGAGGUGUUGAGCUCAUGAUUGGAGAUUUUUUUGAGCCUCACGAAGUGAUUUGUGAGGGGUUCUUGAGCCUUCUCUGUGGGAUAUUGCAAUUGGCUACUCAAGUGGAUUGCUCGUGGCUUGGAGGAUCCCCAUCUUCUGUGCAGCACCCACUGAGGGUUUGCCUUUGGAUUGCCAAUUAAGCCUGUGAUCCAUGAAGUGGGUGUAUCACCACAACAAGGACUAGCUUGCAGGGAAGCAAGUGAACCAUGGUAAAAAAAUAUUGUGUCAUCUCUUGCCAAGGAUUCUCUCUUGUGAAUGUGAUUGUGAGUGAUUGAUUGGAUAUAUCUCUACUCUACAACGUCAGUAUAAUAAUCACUCCCCACUCCUUUACUUACUUGCAUACCUUGCUAAUUGUUUAGCUUGUGUAGCCUAGUCUUCUUGUUUAGGAGUGUAGCUAGCCCUUAUUUGUGAUUUAUUAUUGUGACUUAGUGUUUAGCUUCUUGCUAGAAUUGUGUAGGUGGCUUACAUAGCUUAGUUGUGCUAGUGCUAGAAUAGCUUUGCCAUUUGUUUGUAGAAAAUUUAAAUAGGCUAUUCACCCCCGUCUAGCCAUUUGGACCUUUCACCUACCCAUAAUUGGCAGGAGGAGAAGAUACAGAAGAAACUCUCUCAUAACUUUUCUCGUUACUUUCCUCGUUAGGGCUAGAAACUCUUAAAACUCCUGUAAUUUCUCUCAUUACUUUCCUCAUUAGGAGGAGAAACUCCUUCCUCCUUACUUUCCACAUUAGGGGCAAAAACUCCUAAAACUCCCAUAUCCUCUCUCAUUAGGGACACAAACUCCUAAAACUCUUGUAAAGGGGAAUAAUUUUGUAACUCCUACCCAUAAUUGGCGGGAGGAGAUGCUACGAGAGUUUUCCUCAUUACUUUCCUCGUUAUGGGUAGAAACUACUAAAACUCAUCAUCGCCUUCCCUCAUCAGGGAUAGAAACUUCUGAACUUCUGUAACUUUCUCAUUACUGAUUCUUCUUUGCCUCAUUAGGGGCUUGUUACUUUAUUCCUCCUCAUUAUGGGCAAAAACUCCUAAAACUCCCUCAUUGAACUCCAUCUCCCUUAUUGACUUCCCUUAUUAGGGGCAAAAACUCCUAAAACUUUCAUAACUUCCCUCAUUACUGGUUCUUCCUCAUUAAGGUUAGAAACUCCUUCCCUCAUUAAGGACUCAUCACUUUUUUCCUCAUUAGGGGCAGAAAACCAUUUCCUCAUUACUUUCUUCCUCAUUAGGGGUAGAGAUCCCUUCCCUCAUUACCUUAUUACUAUCUUCCUCAUCUCAUUACUUUCUUCCUCAUUAGGGGCAGAAACUCUCUUCCCUCAUUAUCUCAUUACUUUCUUCCUCAUUAGGGGCAACAACUCUUUCCAUCAUUACUUUCUUCAUCAUUAGGGACAAGAACUCCUUCCCUAAUUACUUUUUUCCUCAUUAUAGGCAGAAACUCCCUUCUCUCAAUAUCUCAUUACUUUCUUCCUCAUUAGGCCUUUUCUUGUCAUGUGCAGAAACUCUUUCCCUCAUUACUUUCUUCCUCAUUAAUUAGGAGGUAGAAACUGCCUUCUCUCAUUACAUCAUUACUUCCUUCCUGAUUAGGGGCAUAACUCCUUCCCUCUUUACUUUCUUCCUCAUUAGGGGAAGAAACUCCUGAAACUCCCUCAUUAACUUUCCACUUAGAGGUAGAAACUCUUGUAACUUCCCUUAUUACUUUCUUCCCCGUUAAGGGUAAAAACUCCGUCCCUCAUUACUUUCUUCCUCAUUAGGGGCGUAAAGUUCUUCCCUCAUUACUUUCUUCCUCAUCAAGGGCAGGGACCCCUUCCCUCAUUACUUUAUUCAACAUUAGGGGUAGAAACUCCCUUCCCUCAUUACUUUCUUCCUCAUUAGUUUUCUUCCUUAUUAGGGUAGAAACUUUUCUCAAUCAUUGUCCCAUCCCAUGUAACAUAAUUCUAACCUUGUCUACAUUCUUGGCAGUGGCAGAGUGGUAGGUUUAGAUAGCGAAGAGAGCCUACACUACUGUGAUGGCGGCUAGCGGGAAGGCAGCACCGAUGCUAGGGCUUCUGCUGCUGUUGUGCUUGCUCUGCCAUGGGGCAGCACAGCGGUACAAUGCCAUCUGGAACUUUGGUGACUCCAUCUCCGACACCGGGAACCUCUGUGUGGGUGGGUGCCCGGCCUGGCUCACAAUGGGGCAGCCGCCCUAUGGGGAGACCUUCUUCCACCGCCCCACCGGACGCUGCUCUGAUGGCCGCGUCAUUGUUGAUUUCUUGGGUAUGUGACUGCAUGGUGUAAAUUGUAGCUACACUAGCCUGCCUAUGUGUAUACUAGCAGGGAUGAAACAAACUGGUUGUGACCCGCGUCAUCUGCCAACGCCCUGUGGGCUCUCAGACUAGACUAACUGGUACUGUGGUACGUACAUGCAGCUGAGCACUUUGGUCUGCCGCUACCGCAGGCGUCGAAGGCCAGCGGCAACUUCAAGAAGGGUGCCAACAUGGCCAUCAUCGGCGCCACCACCAUGAACUUUGACUUCUUCAACUCCAUCGGACUUAGAGACAAGAUUUGGAACAACGGGCCGCUCGACACCCAAAUCCAGUGGUUCCGCCAGCUCCUCCCCUCCGUCUGCGGGAAUGGUACGUAAAUCAUAAAUCGCGGUGAAAGCAGAAAAUCGCAUUCGCAUGAUUACGCCGUACUUUGUUAUUUAUGAUUUAUGAAUUGCAUGAAACAGACUGCAAGAACUACCUGUCCAAGUCGUUGUUCGUGGUGGGCGAGUUCGGGGGCAACGACUAUAAUGCGGCGCUCUUCUCUAGGCGGUCCAUGGCGGAGGUGCGAGGCUACGUUCCUAGGGUCAUCACCAAGCUCAUCCACGGCCUGGAGACGAUCAUCAGGAGGGGAGCCGUGGACGUGGUGGUUCCCGGGGUGUUGCCUAUCGGCUGCUUCCCCACCUAUCUCACCCUCUACGGCACCUCGAACGCCGCCGACUACGACCGCGAUGGCUGCCUCCGGAGCUACAAUGACCUCUCCAGCUACCACAACGCGCUGCUGAAGCGGAGCCUCUCCAGCCUGCGGAGGACAUACCCGCACGCUCGGAUCAUGUACGCUGACUUCUACACACAGGUCAUCGACAUGAUCCGGACCCCUCACAACUUUGGUCAGUAUACAUACACUACUACCUUUAAUUUAGUUUUAUUUAAGAUGUCCACUUUUCUUCCUAUUGCUUCGGUCUAUCCAUGCAUUUCGCUACUAGACAUCAGGUUGGAGUAUAUAUGUUGGAAUAACAUUCCAGUCAAUUUUUAAAAGAAAGACAGAAAAACCAUUGUACUAUUAGCUGACAACCCUGUCCAGAGCAGGAAGGUAGGCAAAACAUCACAAAAAUCAUUCUUCUGCUGAUAUUUUAGUUAGCACACACUCUUGUUUGAACUUUGGCUUUGUGUCCUUGCUAGAAUCCAGUUGGCGUACGGGAGUUGAAGUCUUAGUUAUCACGGAAUGUGUAGUGUAGCACAUAGGCAGCACAGCACUGGAAAGGGAUAGAUCCAAAGCGUGGAUGUUGGCAGAUACAGAUGUAAAGAGAGCUACGUGCAUGUUUAAAUUUUUACUUUUGGAUUCUUAGCCCACCAGUGACUCAUCCUCUGGUCAAUUAAUUAUGACCUUUGUCCAAACAAUUUGGGAAUCAAUACCCACCUAAUUGAUCCAGUUUGCAUGCGUAUUAUUUAUCCAUCAUACUAAUAAUUACGAUGGAACAUGUAUGUGGUAUAAGAAUAGGAUGAAAGCCUGUCAUUGACACCAUGGUGUCAUAGAUAUCAUCUUAUAAAGCACUGUGUAAUAUACUGGUCACAAAAGCCACCUGCUGUAAUUGGCAAAGAUACUCCCACAUGUAACAUAACAAUUCCUAGCAACUUAACAGAUCCCUUCUUUCUAUGCACUGUUUUAUCUUAAAAUGUUUCUCAAAGGUUAUUACUGUUCAGUCACUGACGGGGAGCACGCUAGCGCUCAUUCUGAGGCGGUAUUCUUUAUUAACUGUAAUGUAAUCAGCCUAGCUAAUAUAAUGAUACCUAGUACGUGUGAUCGACACUUGCAGGGCUCAAGUACGGGCUGAAGGUCUGCUGCGGCGCCGGUGGGCAGGGCAAGUACAACUACAACAACAAUGCGCGGUGUGGCAUGUCCGGGGCCAGGGCCUGUGCUGACCCGGGCAACUACCUCAUCUGGGAUGGCAUCCACCUCACGGAGGCGGCGUACCGCUCCAUCGCCGAUGGCUGGCUCAAGGGCACCUACUGCAACCCUCCCAUUCGGCACUGAUGAGCUAGCUAGCUGGGGGAGUUAAUAGCUAGCUACAUUCAUGCGUGUGUUGUUUGGGCUAAUUGCCAUGUG
rnacentral:lncRNA from 1 species